GUUUAUGUUUUCUGUUAUUAUAGUUAUAGCGUUGGAUCAUUUAGUCCACUAGUCCAGUGUCUUCUCUGAGGAGCUAAGGAGCUCAUUUCUUGCAUAGGUACACAGCUACAUGCUAUUUCCAUCAAGAUGUUAGGUUUUAGGCCCAGAAGCAUGCAUAUGACUAUGAUUGUAAACUGUAGACACAGAUGCUUAUCUCUGUUUUCAAUCAAGUUUCUUUUUUUUCUUUUCUGUUUUUAACUUUUGAUGCUUAUCUCUGCCGUGCCUGAUGAGCAACGUGUCUCUUUAUGACUGAUGAUAAUCUGUCAUUCUUUAGGUGAGUACAUUGACUUAAUUACAACGAACUUAUACCAAGAUUUUGUAAGACAGAUGCUAUAGUUUCCAUGUUAUAUCUUGCUUGUUGCUAAUUCAUAUAUAUAUAUAUAUAUAUAUAUAUAUAUAUAUAUAUAUAGGGAAAUUCCUUUGUACACGUACGUGUAGUUACUCUCAUCUUCAUAAACUACAUUGUGUAUGUAUUCAUACUUGUUUAUCAGUUUGAGUAUGUUUAUAUACUCAUAUUAAGAUACUCAGGAUCUUACCACGCGAAAAAUUUUCAAAAAAAAAUUUAUUUUAGAUAUAUUACUAAAAUGCCACUACUAUAUUAUAUACAAUAAGUAUAACCAUAUACUCUAUGUAUGUAUGCAUACUUAACAUACAUAUCACUCUAGAUGGUCUAGUAUGAUCAUAUACUUUGUCUAUAUACAUUUCGUCCGGUCAUAUACACCUUAAAUCUAGAGAUACAUAGAUGAGAGUAACUACACGCGCGUGUAAAAGAAACGCGUCCUAUAUAUAUAUAUAUAUAUAUAUAUAUAUAUAUAUAUAUAUAUAUAUAUAUAUAUAUAUAUAUAUAUAACGAUUAGGUAAUAUAAGUCUCUUGUGAUAUACUGAUAUAUUUUAGUUGAACUACUGUGCUUGUUGUCUGAUGUGAAUCCUUAUACGUUUGUUAAAUUAUUUAUUAUUGGUCUAAUACUUUCAAAUAACUGCAGAUUGCCUCUGUAAAAAUUAUAAGGAACAAGCAGACUGGGCAUUCAGAAGGUUAUGGUUUUAUUGAGUUUUACUCUCAAGCCGCUGCAGAACAUACUCUGAUGAACUUCAAUGGGCAGAUGAUGCCGAAUGUUGAGAUGGCUUAUAAGCUUAACUGGGCUUCUGGCAGCGCUGGGGAUAAGCGUGGAGAUAGUGGUUCUGAUCACACAAUAUUUGUUGGUGAUUUGGCUCCUGAUGUUACUGACUCUAUGUUGGAAGACAUGUUCAGAGCGAACUACCCUUCAGUUAGAGGAGCUAAAGUUGUUGUUGAUAGGAUCACUGGACGGCCCAAAGGAUAUGGUUUCGUGCGUUUUGGAGAUCUGAAUGAGCAGGCACGUGCUAUGACCGAGAUGAAUGGAAUGAUGUUAUCUACAAGGCAAAUAAGGAUUGGUGCUGCAGCUAACAAGAAGAAUAUGGAUGCUCAGCAGACAUAUGCAUCUAACGGUAUGUACUUGUGGAUCAUCUUCCUAUAGGUUUUAAAAUUAUUUUUGUUCUAUUGUUUCAUACUUGCUUGUGUAGGAUUCUGCAGGGGCAGGGGUACUGAUGAUGAGAGCACCUAAGUGCAUCACUGCAUCUUGAAAAUUAUACCCACUUAUAUAUUUUGAUUUCGUUUUCCAUUUUUCUUGCUGGAGGGAUGAUAGUGUGUUCAUAGCAGUUUUCUUUCUAGUCAUUCCACUGCAGCGUAGCUGGCAUAGCUUCUUUCUGUAAACAGACAUUUACUUCCAGCUCUUUCCGUUCCAAGUCUAAGUUUGGGAUAACUUAACACAACAAAGUAAUAAAACCACUAAACAAAAUUCGUGUUUCUCAAAGCAGGAUGCCCUGCCAUCUGCAUUUAGGGCCUGGAAAUGUCUUCAGAUGUCUCCUGUAACCCGUGCCUCGGUUAGGUCAGUGUUUAAUUUUUGUGAGAUUUUGGUUCUAAAGUACUUUAGAGGGCCAACUAUAUGCUAUAUAUUUGUACUCUCUCUCAGGCAUCAAUUUAUCUGGACUUACUUUCCAGUCUUCCUAUGCUUUCAUUUUUUUUUGGAAAAAAUGUCAAUCAUGUUCCAGUACUUGUGAUAGCUGAUAUUUACAGAAUUUUAUAUGUUUUGUAAUAUAAUUCUUUUUAUAUAUUCCCUUUUUUUCUCGUCUUUGGAUUAGAUUUCUUAUAUCUGCACCUAAUCUCACCUGUAACAUGCUUGUUUACUACACAUUGUACUUUAUAGUGCAGGAAGCUCCUAAUUUCACCUGUAGCGGGUCCCCUCAAUGUACCAUUUUGUAGAGUUACUCCAAAUUUUGCUGCGGUGCAGAAAAUAUUCUUUUUUUGUUCAACUUUCCGCUGCUUGUGCCUGCACUUACUUCCUCAUGCAUUUUAUCUGGUUUAUUCCAUGCUGCAGAUUCCAUUUGCUUGUAUUUAUCAUUAGUUUUCUCUCAAUGCACUUUGUAGUUAUGCAUAUUUGUUUGUUGUUCAUGUAUUCUGCUUAUCUGAGUUUGGAUUUGAUAGUUGGGUCUAAACAGUAAAAAUUAAUUUCUUAUAUUAACUAUUUUAUCGGCAGUUAAUGCCUCGGAAUAAGAUAUAAAAAAUAAAGAAACGAAAUAGUUGAGCUAAUAUGUUCUACUUCAUGCCUGUGGUAGUGCAUGGGGAUAAUCCUGGUCGUGAUUAAUUCUCCCAGUUGCUGCUACAUAGUUGGGGUAAUUUAAAGAUACAGGGUAUUGUGUAGAUAAUCUGAGCUUAUCUACUGACUGUUUAGCUAUAGUACUUAAAUUUCUUCUGUUGCAGCCAAGCAGUACAUGCAGUGAACAACUCUUUGAAGCAAGGAUUUCUUGUAUUCUUCCUCUGGCCUCAUUGGAAUGCUAACCAUUUCUUUAUUUGUUUUUUUACUUACAUUACCGCAAAUGGUAUUCGCUAUUUUGGAUCAUUAUACUUACUAGAAUAUGUUAAGCUAUUACUUUUGCUGGCCAGAAUAUGGGUGUCCAGUUUCCAAUGCUAUUAUUUUGGGGGGUUUAAUUCCCAGCCAGUUUGCUAGUUUUGUUGCUGAUGGUUUGUCCUUGCCAUUGCAGGAGCAUACCAGAGCUCUCAAGGAAUUUCUUCAGAGAAUGAUCCAAACAAUACAACAGUAAGUGGACCUUUUUUCUCAAAAAGGAGACUUAGGAAUUCCUGUUACCUUAUCUUUCAUUAUUUUGCAAUAGGUAUUUGUGGGUGGGUUAGAUUCCAAUGUAAAUGAGGAGUAUCUAAGGCAAAUUUUUACUCCGCACGGAGAAAUUUCCUAUGUGAAGAUUCCUGUAGGCAAGCAUUGUGGAUUUGUUCAAUUUACCAGCAGGUUCAUAUAAAUGCUUAUUGCUCUUUAAUUAACCGUUCAGACUCUGAUGAUAUAUGUGGGUUAAUUCUUUGUUGCCUGAUUAUGUUACCAUAUUUCAGGUCAUGUGCUGAGGAAGCCAUCCAAAUGCUGAAUGGGAGUCAGAUUGGUGGGCAGAAAGUUCGGCUUUCAUGGGGCCGUACUCAAAACAGACAGGUAUUUUGUGUGGUGGAAUCUUAGUUUUUGCUGAAUUCUUACUUACCUAACAGUUGAUUAAUCCAAAUGCGAUUCUUCAUCAGGCUUCUCAGCAAGAUGCCAACAGCCAGUAUAAUGGGAACAGCUAUUAUGGAUACCGACAGCAGGGUUAUGAAGGUUAUGGCUAUGCUGCACCCAAUACACAAGACCCAAGCAUGCAAAACUACUAUGGAUACCCUGGUUAUGGUAACUAUGAGCAGCAGCAGCAGCAGCAGCAGUCAACACAGGAACAGCAGCAGCAGCCUCCACCAGCACAGGAGCAGCAGCAACAGCAGCCUCCACAGCAGGUAGGACACCGACAAUCCCUAUUGUUUAAAUCUUACUAUCCUUUCAUAGUUGGAAUUAGGAAAUCGACUGUUAAAAAUAUUACUAUCCUGAACCAGCCAACUGCUGGUUUGCUGGUCAUACAGUGUUAUGUUACGAGUCUUCUAUGUUGGGAUGUUGACAAGGCUGAUGAGUAACUUUGUGGUCUUUCAUUUGCAGUGAUGAUCAUGCACUUCUGGAGAUCUAUCAGAUCAGAGGGAUGGUAGAGUCACAGGCCACUGCCUAAUGAGACAGAUAUGGAGGUCAUGUAGUUGCAUGGGUGCGGUUGGACUUGUUCUUGGGGACCAGUGUUAAUUGAUGAUGGCACUCCACACUCCAGAUGUUUCUUUUGUUUGUCGUUGAGAUCUUGACCGUUAAAGUAUGCUCUGUUGAGAUUGAUGUCUUCGUCAGAUUGUUAUUGUGAGCUGUCUGGGUAGGGUGGUGGUCAAACGUUUGUGCACUCUUGGUGAGCACUCAAUGACGAUUUGCGACAUGGAGCAUACUGUGCAUGCAUCGCCCAAAAAAAAACGCUCAUAAACGUAGGGGAUCACCUAAAACUUGGUGGGCACAUAAACUGAUGAACAUGGGGGGUGUCACCUAAAGCUUAGUUUAGGUGGAUGGCUCAAGUUUUCUAGGUGGCUAAAGUUUAGUCUAAUGCUGGACUAAAAGUGAACUGAAAGUUUAGUUGACUGAAGUUCAGGUGGACUAAAAAAACUCAUGUGCACCUCUUAGGCCCUGUUUGGCACAGCUCAACUUUACUAGUAAAAUAGUUUUUUUUUUUAGAAAAUAGCUUCAUGAGCAACUUUAUACAUGAAGCUAAGCUAUUUUGGAAAAAAUGUUUGGCAAAAAUAGCUUCACCAACUCUUUUUUACAUAGAUGGAAGAAAGAAAUGAGAGCUAUAAUAAGCUACUUUUUUUUCAGCUUCAUCCCACUCAUAUUUUUGUGAGAGAAAAGAAAAACAGCUUCACCUAUAAAGCUGUUUUGAAAAUAAGUGUUUGGCAAAAAAAAAACACACACACAGUUCACAACAGUUUACUUUUGGUCCGUCUAUUUGGAUAUCUAGGCCAGUAGUUUAGAUGACUAACGUUCAAUCAUGCGUGAGAUUUUGAUGAGCGGAGGUUGAGGAGGGCGAGGGCCUGUGUCGGCCUAAGUGAGAAUUUGAUGAGAUUAUGUCACCGGAGUGUACUGGAUCGGACUCAGCCACGCUCGCGGUUUGCUGGAAGGAGCGCUCACACUGCUGGAAGGGCGCCGAGGCUGAUGAAGCAGGCAAAGAGCUGUAGUACUGUGCUCUGGUUGUAGGCAUGGAAAUAGAGGUGAUGAUCAGGAAAGAGCAACUCCGGCGGGGAUGGUGGCUGGAAGCUGGAUCCGAAGUCGAGCACGGGCAGAUACGGCGCAAGAGGGAACUCAACGAUGGACCCUCUGCUCCAAAAUGCCAUCAGAACUAGCCACAACAGACAAUGGAGACUACCUAGACAGCUAGAUCUAACCUACAGCUAGAUCUGUAUGUUUGUUGAUUAAUCCGAGGGAACCGUCAUGUCAUUUCCACCUGUCAUUAAAAUUCAUCAGACUCCACAAGGAUGCUGUAACAAUCAUUGUAAUGCGAUUUCAAAACUUUAAAAAACCAGAGCAUAUAAGAUUUCUUGGGGUAAUACAGCAGGUCACACUGAUUUCUCACAUAUCCAUGAACGUAUGCAUGAUAAGUGGAAACCAACUCCCAGAAAACAUUUAUAAAAAAAAAAGAGCCGCAACAAGGUCAAAAUUUCAGCCCCUUCCAGGUUGGAGCUAGCUAAUAGGCAAACCCCUACACCAUCAGGUUCCUAAGCUAACUGUGCAUUUUACUCAGGAGCUUCAGUGCCAACGCCUCCUGCUGGGCGAGAACGUCACCGUCCUUUGCAGCAUCAUUGUCUUCGCCGUCACUGAAGUACCUCUUUUUACCCUUGUUGGCUGUGUCUUGGCCUCUGUCUGAUUCUGAGCCACUAUCCUCCUCUGACCCUGCUUCAGUCUCUUCCUGCCUCUUGCGCUUAAGCUUCAACUUCUUCUGCAGCUUCUUCUCCCGCAAGCUCUUCUUGUGUUCGAGCUUGUCCUCCUUGUCGUGCUCCCGCAUUUCUCUCAACAUCUCUGCAUACCGCUGCGAAACUGUAGCCACAGAUACAAUACAAUAAGCAACGUCAUAAUUAGAGUUCACAUCCUUUGUGCAAAUCAUGGGCGACAUAAAAACAGAGACAGAACAAACUUUUAUCCUUGUGAACCACAGGUUCUAAAGAUAUUUCUUCAGCGACAGAUGCGAGAGGCGGGAUGGCGUUGCCCUCAUCAUCAUACUUGACCCUUGUUCCCGAUGGCCUGUUCACGUUUAUCUUCAGUUUCUUCUUUUUGAAGGGUCUUUCAAGUCUGACAAGGACAAGCUGUUAGCAUAAAUUCGACAAACAAAGUCUGGAAUUAAAUAUUGGUAGCAUCAAAUUUGAAAGAUAGGAACCUCUUAGUUUCGAAAUUGAGUUGCAUGGUACAUACCCGGUCACAUUUGUAUCUGUGGCAGGCUCCUUGGGGUGAAGGACAUCAUCAAGUCUGUAGUCCAUAUUAGUAUCUGCAGUGGGCUUCUUGGGAUAAAGGAUAUCAUCAUCUCCAUCACACACAGAUAAAUCACUGUUGAUCUUUGGAGUGAUGAUAACUUCACGUUUGGAGCUGGAUUUCAUCUGUUUCAUAUCACUGUCCUCCAUAUCUUUCUUCGACACAUUCUUCUUGUGGCUUAUGAAGCGGAUCUUGGGGGUAACAGGCAGACCAAGCGAAGCAGCGUAUGCAGCAAACUGCUCUGCAGAGAACCUGCUCAGGUCGAACACCUUUUUGUCUUUCUGGAGGUAUAUGGACUUGAGAUACGUAACAAAAGCCCUUUUACCCAAAUCCUGAAGACUGGGAAAUUUAACCAGCACCGAGGCUAUAUUCUGAGAUAUCUGCUCCAGUUGUUCUGCCUUUGGCUACAUUGAAGAAAUCAAGAACAGUAAGUAUAAUAAAUAAAAAAGAAGAAAUGCAAGAACUAGUGGAAGCUCUAUGCUAUAAACAGCUGUCAGAUUUUGUCACUUGAGAACGAAUAACCAUUCUAAACGCUUGUCUCAGCAUCUACCACAUAGAUCAGCCAUAAUCAAUUAAGUGCUAAAAACAGAAAAUACUGCUGCUAACCUUUCGAAUAUGUAUAGGUAUUUUACUUUCGGUUGCCUUCAAUUUUUCAAGCAUUGCUUCUUCUUCAGGACAAAGGAAUACAAGUGAUUUUCCUUUCUUAUUGUAACGAGCUGUACGCCCAACUCUGUGGAUGUAAUUAUCAAUGUUUUCUGGGCAAUCAACCUGCAAAUGAGAUAAAUAGGUUACAACAAGAGAAUAAAAAAAUACAAGAAAAAUGAAAAGGUUACAGCAAGAGAAUAAAUAAAUACAAGAAAAAUGGUAGUGGUUAACAUAGUGGCGUACCUGUACCACCCAAUCCACAUUCUCUAUAUCCAGUCCUCGAGAGGAUAUAUCAGUUGAGAAAAGAACUGAAGUAGUUUCAUUGAAAUCUGCAACUAUGGCCUGCUGUACCUCAUAUUUCAUCCGUCCAUGCAUACAUUUCAAAGGAAUACCAGGACGAAGUUUCUUAAAAAUUUCAUAAACAAAUUUGACCUGCAGAAAUCCAACAUUGGAAGACAUGAGAAAAAUACACAAAUAUAAUUAUGCAACACAAAUGUACUUUUCAGAAAAAAAAAACAAUAACUGACUACCUGCUUGACGCUAGAUAAGAAGACUAUCGUCUUUGAAUUUAGAUGCCUUUUAAUGAAGCUCCAAAGCAUAUUUAACUUCUGCUCAAGAGGUACAAUCAUGGCAUACUGCUCAAGAGUAUCUGGAGUGGCUGUUUUGGCCUCCUCAUGCACACUUAUAUAUUCAGGGUCCCUUAGGCUAACCCUUGCAAGGUCCUUAACUGACUUCGUUUGUGUAGCUGAAAACAGUAAAGUUUGUCUAACUUUGGGAAUCUGAGAAAUGAUAGCAUCAACCUGGCUUCUGAAACCGUGAUCGAGAAUUUGAUCUGCCUCGUCAAGCACCAACAGCUGUUUUCCCAUAGGGAAAGAAAAAUGAAACAAAAGCACUUUAUUAGAUUAUAUCAACACAAAAGUGGUAUUCACUACGAUCAUAGAACAAGAUACGCUUGAUUACCUGCAGCUGUGAACAAUCAAAAUUGGCAGUUUCGUUUAAGUGCUGGACUAACCGACCUGGCGUGCACACUAAGAUAUUCAAGCUGUUCACAUGUUCCUUCUCUAGUUCAAUACCCUUGCGCUUACCAACAAUGGCGCCACCACUAAAGUUAUGGAACUGCCCCACCGUUGUGAUCACCUCAAAAAUCUGCCCAGCCAAAUCAUUUGUGGGGGAGAGAAUAAUGCAGCCCACACCAUCCUCUGGACCCCAUCUCUCUCUGUACAGCUUCUCUAAAACCUGCAAAGAUGAAAUGUGAUGUGGUGAGCUCAUAAGUAAUAUUAGCUGUCAUGAUCAACCAUACUUCUUACAAGGGAACAAUUGCAUGGAAAUAUGAUGAGCUAGACACAAGGUGUAACAGACACCAAUGUACAGGGCACCAUUCGCGCAUUUACCAGCACUAAAUAUUGAAACUCUGAUCGCAAUUCAAUUCACACUCCCAGUGUUAGGACCGUUCUUAGCCCGCAAUCUCAAUACCCGAACAUAAACGAGUAAAUUAAGCAGCAGCGAGAGAAAUUUACAGGGAUGACAAAGGCGAGGGUCUUGCCGGAGCCGGUCUUGGCCGCGCCGAGGACAUCGCGGCCACAGAGCGCGUGGGGCAGGGCGGCGCGCUGGAUCUCACUCAUCUCAGUGAACCCCGCCUUCCGCAGCCCGUCCUUGGUCUUCUGCGACAGCGGUAGCUCGUCGAAAAGUGUGCACGCGCCGUACUCCGGGUGCUCCCCGGCCGCCGGCGCUGGUCCCGCUGAUUGCGACAGGGGCGGGGGUUUGGUGCGCGGGAGGGGCUUGCCGGCGUCAAUCCAUUCGUUGAGGAGGCAAAUCUCGUCGACCUCCCGCAGGCGAGUCUGCUUCGCCGCGGCGCGGCGCUUCGGGCGGCGCAUGGCGGCUACUAGGGUUUAGGGUUCCGUGAAGUAGGGCUGGAAGGUUCUAGAAAAUGUGCAGCUCCGGUGCCAGGGUUUUUAGCCCGGACGGGAUUUGGCUAUUUGAGGCUGGCUUUGGCUUGACCGCUACUCCUCGAUCCCAAGUCCUUUACCGUUCUCUCAAAAAAAAAAAAAGUCAUUUACCGUGAAACUUUGGUUGUUUAGUUGACCCCAAAAACAAAAAAAACAAAAAAAAUAAAAUUUUCUAUCACAUUGAAUUUUAGACACAUGUAUGGAACAUUAAAUAUAAAAAAACAAAAACUAACUACACAGUUUGUCUGUAAAUCGUAAGAUAAAUCUUUUGAGUAUAGUUAGUUACACAUAAUGGCAAAAAUAACAUUUUUAAGGAAUACAGAACACUCCAAUAAAAACUACAUUAACCACUAAGAGCAACUCCAACCAGGCCCCUAUUUGAACCCCUACUCUAAAUUUUAGGGGUUUUAACAAAAAAAUCAACUCCAGUGGAGUCCCUACUUAAGCCCCCAUUUUACAAGUCUCCCCAAAUUUUAGUUUGAGCCCCCUAGAUCUGCUAGCCCCUACCUGUGGGACCCACCCCUCCCCACCCCGGCCGGCACGCGGUAGCGCACGGCGGAACCGCGCCGCCGCCGCCCGGCUAUGCGCCGCCACGUCGCGUUGUGCUCAUCGGCGGCGGCGUCUAGGGAGUGUGCCCUUGCCGGCGACGGAGAUCCACACGCGCAGUACACCGAGACAAACGCGAGCUCGUUCGUUCCCCCUCUCAAAACUGCGCUUGUGAUCCUGGUUCGCCGGUGUCGUCGAACCCUCCUGCGUCUCCACCCAUCAUCGAUCGGACGCCGUGGCGCCCAUGGCCAAUCCGUCCUCGCCCACGUCCUCCAGCCGCUGCGGGACGGUGCGGAGGAGCGGGUCGGGCGUGCAGGCCGGCGGCGCGUCGAAGACGGCGAGCGGGAGGUGCUUCUUGACGACGCCGACGUUGAAGUAGAUGAAGCCGGAGGAAGGGAUGUCGACCUUGAUGUCGUGGACGGGGAACCACAUGAGGAGAUCCUGCGCGGCGACGCCCGAGAUGGCGGCGAUCUGACCGGGGCUGAUGACCCCGGUGACGGUGGUGUUGUAGCGCAGGCCGACCUCGAAGCGCGCGGUGCAGGGCACCUCCAGCUGGGCCUCGAACCGCCCCGUGGCCGUGUCGUGAUGGAACGCCGUGAUCCCCGUCGGCAGCUGGUGCGCGCGGAGCACCUCGUUCGCCGCCUCUGCUGCCGCCGUCGCCGCCACGCGCCACUCCGUCGCCAGCGCUGCUACCGCCGCCGACAUGACCACCAGCGUCCCCAGCGCGGCCGCCAUUCAAGCCAGCGAGCGGAGCAGCGGGGCGCCGGCGCCGGUGCGAGCAGAGGAUAGGGUGUUGGGCUGGAGUUGGAUGCAAUUUUGGGUUCUUAUUAUUUUUAGUCCAGCCUAUAAAUAGAAUUUUAGGGGCCUAAUCUGAGAACUUGCACUGGAGUUGCUCUAAGCUGGAAUUGCAGUUGCGGAGACGACAUUUACCAAACAAAUCCAAUAUGAUGGGGAUAUAGAUAUCCUUGCCAUACACACUCAGCAAAAAAAAGUGACCAAUUACAUGAGCUUGUACACGUUGUUUAAGUUGUGAGGAGAAUUUGUUACUCUCACUUUUUUUUUAAUACUAGCAAAUAUGUCCGUGCGUUGCAACGGAAGAAAAACAUCAAAUCUAUACCUAAAUCUUAUCUCACUCUAAUAUAACCUCUUAAUAUACCUCAGUAUUAUAUUAAAACAUGAGAAGUUUGAUGCUAGCAUUAUUUUUUUAUUUAGAUUAGGAUUGCUAUGAAAUAUGAAUCAAGCAUCACAUUAAAUAGGCUAUCAUAAAAUUUUUAUAAUAAUUGUAGCAAGAUAACUAUAUUUUUAAUUUUACACUAAAAAGUAUAGGUAAGCAUUUCCAAAAAAAAGUGUACUAAAAAUUGUGAUAUUUUUUGUUUACUGCAUGGAUCUACAUAACAAAAUUUGUUUUAUAAUUUUUAAAUUUUUCUAUGAAUUACUAUGUAUUUAUCAAUUUUCAGCCGAUUUAAAAAAUAAAAAAAAAUAAAUUGGAGAUUUUACAUUGGGAACUCUAAAAAAAAUUUUAUUCUUUUUUCUCUUUUCUAAAGUAAUAUAAGAUUUUGCAUUAGGAACCUUAAAAUGUUUUUUAUUUUGCUUUUGCUCUUCUAGAAACGGACGGAGAAGGCUACGGAACGAUGGAGGAGGCGACGGAUUCGGUAAACGAAGGCGGACAGGACCGGAAGAAAAAAAUAUCGAUGCAGAUUGAAAUUUUGGCUCUUUAUAGAUACUAGCAAAUAUGCACGUGCGACACGCACGUGUUUAUAGAAACUAUUUUUAAUGUAAUAUGAAUAUCGAAUAAAUAUAUAUGGUAAGUGUUUGAUUGAUUUGAUCGGGUCGUCUAGACACGGAUUAUAUAGAUGGUACAAUGGUUAGAGGGAGGCGUGUUAAAUAAAUAAGCUAAUUUUUUAUCUCGUUGUUGUUGUUGUUAUUAUUAUUAUUAUUAUUAUUAUUAUUAUUAUUAUUAUUAUUAUUAUUAUUAUUAUUAUUAUUAUUAUUAUUAUUAUUAUUAUUAUUAUAUUCGAAGUGCACACGAUGCACGAGGAUGUUGUUGACGAAGGUGACCUACCGUUUAAUGUUGCUGGCAGACUUGAGCUCCACAUAAAAGUGCAAGCCGAGGACGCAUGUCUAAAGGCUGCGCCACAGACCCGUGUGCACCAGCUCGCUUGGCGGUGUCAGAUUUGUUUUUCCUCUAUGGAUGGAUGGACAAUCGUGCUCUCUCGUUCUAUAUAUACAUAUAUACAUGCAAUACAAUGGACAGGGUUGGACAAAAUUGGUAUUGGAAUCAAAUACGUGGUACGCGUAUCCUUUUCUAGAACGUGAUAAUACAACAGUAUGUUGUACGCAAUAGUCCAGAGUCAUAUUUCUAUUUUGUUGAAUAAUUUGGUUUACUUGCCAAAAUCAAAGAUCAAUAAUUUCUUUUCUUUAUUACUUCCACAGUCCAACUGGGUGGACAUGUUCUAUCUUAAAGGAUAUUUUUUUAUUUUACUUACCAAAAAUCAGGGAUUAAUAAUUUUUUUUCUUCAUGUGUUGACGACAACAAAGAGGGGGUCAUAGAGUCCUUACAGGGGAUAGAGAGAUCGUGGAGCCCGUUUAGUAUUGUACGUGUGUGACGUGAGAUUGAGUUACAGACGUUUACGUCUUAUACAUGUAAGAUGUAAGAUCACGUAUUACGGAGGGCUCAUAUAGCACGAAGUCCAAAUCGAACGGUUAUUACGCAGGGAGAGAUCCCCUAAAAAAACUCGCUCUUUUAUAGUGUGAUUUAAUAAAUAUUAAUAUGAUAUCGUAUGUUAUUGAAUUCUUAUGAUAUUUUAAUCAUAAAGAACAUGGGAGUAACUACAGAUGAAUCAAUCGUGUGGAGCUCCUAUUGAUUUUAAAUCGGAGUUGAGUUCGGUUGGUAUCUAGUAGAUGACUCCAUACUAAAUCGGCUAUAAUUCCUCGUAGAGUCCAAUUAAUACGCCACUGGAUGUGUUUAAAGGCAAUGAUAACUCUAUUUUGAUUUUGAUCUUAGCUCCAGAUUCAUCAUAAAACCUUUUGUAAGUGUAUAUGGGUACAAGCCCAAGAUGUGGGCAACCCUGCCCAUUCCGCGUCGCCCACAAACACAUGAUGAUGCUGUGAUAAAAAAACAAACACAUGAUGUCCAUGUAGCCGUCAUGCAUGGAUUUACAUGACAAAUUGACUAAAAUGAGAUAAUGAAGAUUGGAAUUUAUAUAGAAUUAUAGUAUUAAUUACUUUCAUUCUAAAUUAUAGAUUGUUUUGGCCCAUUUUACAAACUUUACAUAUAGCAUAUAUUUAGGUUACAUAUUUAGAAAAAACUAAAACCGACUUAUAAUUUGGUAUAAUGCUACUUAAUGUUGAAUCUUAUUCUCACAAAAGUUUUUUUCUAAAAAAAUGUGCUCCUAUGUGCUAGCUGAAUAAAAAAAUCGUUGAAUCUCUACAACUAAAAAGACCCAAAUGUCAUCGUCAUCGCCCCGCUAAUCGCCCCACCCCGCGCAACGCUGGCCGACGACGCAACGAUUUUCAUCUCUGCCCCGCUCCCUUCUGCAGCCUCCGCACAAACCAACGCCCACGCUCACCUCCCCUCCGUGGCAAAGAAAAAACUUCUCCCACGUCUCCGAGGAAACCGCCUCUCUCUGAAUCGCGCCGCCAAGCAGAGCCUGCGUGGCAUCCCGGCGAUGUUGGCGCAGGCGGUCCGUGCUCUCACCCUCUCAUCUCGGCGGCGCAGGCGGUCCGUGCUCUCACCCUCUCAUCUCGGCGGCGCAGGCGGUUCGUGCAGGAUUUGAAUGGGGAGGGGGAGGUUGCAGCCGCGGCAAAGGCGAGUGCGUUGCGACCGACGAGCACUGGAUUGGGAGGUGUCGAGGUGAGGUCGCCGGAUUUCAUCAUAUUUCUCGUGCUUUCGUUCCGUUCCGUGCUUGCCCCCACAAUUUUAAAGCAGAAAGUACUGGAGCCUGGAAGUAGGUUUUCAAGUGGGUGGGGGCACCGGCGACGAAGACGAUGAGGGCGUCGACACCAAUGUCGCGCGGCGCAGCCUACAUCUGUGCAGCCAUGUCGACAAGCUCCUUAUCCUCCAGCUUUCUUCUCGUCCUCUUCUUGCUGCAGAUCUCUCCAUAUCCCUCUAUUUCUAUCUAGCAUUAUGUUGUAUGCAGGAUUUGGCCGCCGUCUGGUUUCGUUCUUGAUUCUACCGAAGGCUAGCUAACGCAGCCGAUCCUGUGAAGCCAAUCCUCCGUUGUAGCAUUUGCAUUUAGAAUAAAGCUUAAAUACACUAUGCCUCAUAGUCUCAUACUAAUUUUGGUAAAAAAAAUACAAAACCUAUGGCAAAGGCAGUCUAACUCAUUAGAGUGCAUGAACCAAUAAAUUCAGUUUGAUGAAUGCUUCAGUGUUAUACUAUUACAGUAAUAAUUGAUUUUAACUUCAAACAAUGUAUAGGCAGUCAUCACACCAUAAUUGUUAUUUAAAUUCUUGUCUGCAAUCUGGUAGUGUGAAACUGUCACACCUAUGGCCAUAAAUUAUGGAGUACUCCUUGGUUUCAAUAUUGGUAUCAAGUUAGCUUCUUUGUUCUUAUAAAAAACGAGUUACACUGCCUUGGCUCCUCGCCACUCUGUGUUUUGGUACCCAAGUCUACUUUACAUAUUUGGUAAAUAUGUGCAUCAGAAGCAAAGCAUAUGGUCCUUGUGCAAAGCUAAAGUUCUUGUGCAUUAUUAUUCAUGAUUCAGGACAAUGCUAUAUUAUCUAUAAAGUCAGCCAACUUUAUUUUUCUUUCAGAUUUUACUUCAAUCUGGUCAAUUAAAAGAUAAUAUUCAUGUAAUACCAUAAAAAUCUGUAUUUCCUUGUUCAAAGUUUUCAUUGUGCUUCGGCGCUUUAACACUACAUAGCAUUGAAAACUAGCCCCAUCUGUAAAAUGUAAAGAGAAACAGUACCUUAGUGUAAAAAAUAAAGAAAAACAGAGAUGCCAACACUAAACUUUGACACCUGAACAGCAUGCCCUAUGUAUAUAUCUCUUCAGUUGUUGAUGAAAUAUGAUGAUGCAUGCUGAAGUGCCCAUUAUUCCCCAUGUGAUGCAGGCACCAAUCAGGAUCAACUUCGGUGUUCAAAGACGAUGCAGGUCCAACCAUCUAAUCAAAACUCAGUUUUUGCAGGUCCAGUGGGACAACAUUUGCCCGUUAUCUGGUAUAUACCUGUUGCACUAUGAUCCCUGUUUUAUGAGCAAACAGUAUCUACCCAAUGGAAAUUGGAAUUUUUGGGAAUAGUAUAGUACAAAAGUCGUGCCAGUGCUUGUGAAUAUUUACUUUGAUUUUUCUUACAAUUAGUUUAGCUCUAAAAUUUUAUGUGGGCACAUCUACCUUUUCUAUUAUUUUUGGGAAAUUCCUCUGUUUAUCUCCAUCGAUCAGUCCAUCCAUCCAUCUACCUUUAAAAGGAGAGUUUUUCAGCAUUAUCAUCCUGUUUGGUCUAUUCCCUCCCCUCACUUUCUCUUCUCAUGGUUCUAUUCCAACAAAGAACAGAUGAGUCUUAGAAGUUGUUACAAGUGGUCGUGCACUGUCAUGUAGACUUUACUGUGUUUCUCAGGGACCAUAUGCCCUGUACAUCAAUAUCUUUCAGUUCAUUGUGUUACUAUUUUGCAGGCCAUCGAUCAGAACAGAGAGCUUUCUAAAAAAAACCAUAUUGUUGAUCUCUGGACUUUUUUUGUUAUUUUAGUGUGGGUUGAUUUAUUGAUUAUUUUUUUGCUGGGUGUAAUGGCCUAAUACCGAUAUGGACUAUUUGGUUUACAACCCAUCCAAGCAGGUUUUUGACAGUUUUUAGAAGUUCUAUGGUUCAUAACGAAAAUUAAUCUCUCUUUUGGUUUGAUUUGCAUUCUUGUUCUUGUAUGAUCUUAUUGUGUUAAAAAAAUUUUAGCUUCAUGGGCACAGGCUUAAUUAUGCUUUGAACAAAUACUUUUAAGGUCAUAUAUGUCACUGAUAUACAGUUAUUUACAAACAAAUAAAUGAAUUGCACAUGGAUGGGUUAGAACUUAGAAUGUGGCAUUGGCUUGCUGUGAAACGGAAAAAUAUUUACACAAAUAUAAAAAAUGAUUAUGACAAGAGAAGCAGCUGGACUACUUGGGCCAGCACGAGCUAGCGUGAAUGAGCAGGCGGAAGGAAAUUAUUAUAUAUAAUAAAAAAUAAAAAAAGUUAUGAUGAGGAAAAUAUGACAAAUAAAUAUGAAAAAUAUUAUGUUCGGUAUGUUUGGGGAAUUAGUCAAGUAUAAUUACAUCCUUUCGCAUAAUUAGAGUCCUAGACGUACCUACUAUGUUUAGGAUAUCAAAUAUGUACCUGUUACUGUCAUGAGCUACAAAACCUAUUAUUGUUGUCAUAAUUGAUGUUUUCGCUGCAAAGAAAACUGGUAAGAAAAAGUAGAAGAAAAACUAAUAUGUUUCUUUGGACUGACCAUGUUCCUCGUCUCUAUAUGCAGGUUGGCACCUUGACAAGGUUGUUGGGUAUUCUUAACAUCAUUAUCAAAAGUAGACUAAGUUGUCUAAAUCUAGUAACGGUGCAAAAAAUGUCAAACCUAUCCCUCACACCACUUAAGCCAAGUUGUCAUCCCCAGCAUGAUAUAAGAGACGCGGUAUUGAAAUAUGCAAUUGCUCUUUUAAAUAAAUAAUGAAUGGGAUCUGUAAGCGCACAGAUUAAUACCGAUGUAGCAUUUUAACCGGGAAGUAUUCCAGGUAUCGUUAUUUAUAUUUUUACCACUGGGAAGGGAUUAACAAUCAUCAAUAUUGAUUACAGAAUAAAAUAUGAGAUUGAGUAUCUAUCAUUGCAUGUAUAAUUGAGAACAUUAUAUCUAACUCUUCAUACAGGGAUAAGUGUCACAUAAUGGAUAUAUGAAGUAAUGAAUAGUGACAAAGAUAAUUAGUCUGAUCUAGCCACAUAAUAAAUAUGAUAAGCACCUCAAUUAGAUACUCUAGAAAGUCAUUAGCAUGGAAUUAGAACGAACUACAAGAAUAUUUCAUAAGUUAUUCUCAACUAUAUAGUCUAGCAUUGUCAUAAUUAGUGCAAGCAUACUUAGCAAUCAUUGUGAGACAAGACUACGCCCAUGCAUAGUGAUAUUAGCAAGGUAAAUGAGAAACAUAGCAAUCACUCCCCUGUAAUAAUAUUGCUCUGCCAGCCCAAUACACGAGAGGGGGACUAUAUAAGAAUCAAUGAAGCUGUCACUAUCACGAACCACCCCACGAUCUGGCAUAUUGAGUACAAUCGCAGAUAAAUACGGUAUAAGCACCACGCCUACACAAUAUCUAUCAUUUACCCAUGGAUCCGAUGGAUAAACGCUAUACGAUCCUAAGCAUGUAUAUAGAUCCAAUCUAACUAAGCCAAGUACAUAACUAUGAUAAACUAAGAACAAUAUAAUCUUGAAUAUAAGCAGGUAGAGCAAAGUCAUAAGCAAUAUAUUGAAGUAGAACAAAGUCAUAUUCAUAAUAUUGAAGAAUAAAGAUAAUUAGAAAGCAAUUAGAAGCACAAUUAGAGAAUUACCAAGAAUCCUUUAGGUCGGUGGAGAUCUCCCGAGAGACAGAGUCCUGAUUGGACUCCAACAGAGGGCGGGCGCCCAGGGAAACAGGGCGGGCGCCCUGCCUCUGGCCCCUCUCGGCCUCCACUUUCUUCCCGUGGCUUCUGGAGUCUUCUAGAUGUAAGAUAAUUGCGCGGCACGUUAAUUUCUCUAUGUAAUCCCGGCGUGUGGGCCUUUCUUCCGUAUUUCCUGAUAACCCCCUGCAGAAAUAGACAAACACCAAAACUUGUGGAAUUCUGUCAGAUAAAACCCUAAGUCUAGAUGUUGAUUUCAUUUGGAUCCUUUUCUUUAUUUAUUUGAUAAUUAAAUUUGAUACUUAAGGACCGUCAACAAAGGUGUACAAGCAGAAUCCGACAAUUAGAUAUUAUUAAGUCUAAAUGGAUACCUGAGCUUGGUGUGAUUUAUUUUCUAAUAUCUAGGGCUUAUAUUCCAGUUCUUCAGGAUUGAUUUAUUUGAGGUUUGGUCAGACAACAUGAUGUAAACACAAGCAUUGCAGUUAUUCAUAUAAAGAACACUACAGCUAUGUAGGAUUCGAUGCCCUUUUCUUGACUUGGUAGAUCAAAUUUUUUUUUGAGCAUUACCAUUGUGGAAGGCCUAAGGGCUAGGAAAACAUGAACAGGUCCACAUCAGCCAAGCUUCUCAAGGUUCCAAGACUAUCAUGGUUUUUCUUUCUUUUUUUUUGGUUGACCUGGAGCAUUUAGAUUUUAUGGAAAAUUGAUUGAUAUGCUUAAUAUUGAUCCAAUUCAAUGGUGAUUAUGUCUUAUAGAAUUCAACUAUUAUUACCCGUAGCAACGCACGGGCACUCAACUAGUACUACUGUACAAAAGACAAAAGGUUGGUGUGGACCGUAGAGUCAAUAGAUAGUCUCACAUGUUUCACGAUUAUAUCUCUUUUUUUAACCUACGAUUAUGUCUCUUGCAACAAUAAAGCUGUGUUUUUUUUGCCGGCCCAAACUACUGCUAUCUAACUUAUAUUGCGGGCUUCCUAUAUUGCGAGAGGCACGCUAAAGAUUGUGGCCCGUGGCCUGUUAUUACUCUCUACAAUGGCCAAGUUGAAGGGCGCAGACUACAUGGGACACAUCGUCCCAAAAUUCUUAGCCAUUGGAUUCUUCGAUCAACGCUCCAAAUUCACUCCACCUACUGCUACAGUGUGCAGUUAAAAAUAUCUCUUGGGUCACGUGUCCACUUGUACCCUGUUUGUGUUUUCUUUCUCAAUUAUUUGUGCUGCCCGCUGUGUACUCUGUUCUAGAUAAUAAAAGGGAGAAAAAAGAGGGGCCUUUUAUAUUUUCUUCUAUCAUCUCGGUGGUCAAGCGAAGUACCAACAGAAAACAAAAAAAAACUGCCACCGCUUAUUUUCCCCAUGAUUUCUCAUCUCUCUUGAAGUCAUCUGAAAUGUUUCAUUGGCACACGCAUCUUAUUUAUUUUUUUAUCAAACAAUAAAAUAAAUAAAUCAUUAUAAAAAUAUAUCUAACAACAAAAUAAGUCAUAAAUAAAAAAUAAUAUUUAUUAUAUUUUUGAAUAAGACGGACGGUCAAACAUGAAUCAUAGAAGUCAAAGAAACGCAAUUAUUUGUGGGAUGCAGGUUAACCCCUCAAACUAUUUAGGGUGCAAUACUUCAUCCCUAAACUAUAAACCGGAUAUUCUACACCCUGAACUUUUAAAACCGGUUAAAUAACCCGUGAUUUUAGAGGGUGGUUUUGUCUUUUAUUUAUUUAUUUCCACUGAAUAUUUUAAAAAUUGUAAUAAAUCACAAAAAAAAUAUAAAAUAAAAAAUUCAAUUUUGUUGGGGUCCUGAUGAGUAGAUCUACGGAAUGAAUAUAUAAUAUGAUAUACUUUAGGCGUUGUUUAGAUCUAAAAUUUUUUGGGAUUCUAACACUGUAGCACUUUCGUUUUUAUUUGACAAACAUUGUCCAAUUAUAGAGUAACUAGGUUUAAAAGACUCGUCUCACGAUUUACAGGCAAACUGUACAAUUAGUUUUUGUUUUCAUCUAUAUUUAAUGCUCCAUGCAUGUGCCGCAACAUUCGAUGUGACAGAGAAUCUUGAAAAGUUUUUUGUUUUGGGGGUCAACUAAACAAGGCUUUAGUACAAAGUUUUUGUUGUAGCUUUAAAUCUAUGUUUUUCUAUAAUUAAUAAGAACAAAUCAUAUAUGUACUUUAUAUUGUUUAUUUGUGGUAAAAUUUUUAUAGUGGGCUCAUUAUUAUAUGUUUGAAUAAAGGUAAAAGUUUCGUACUCAUUGGAUUAGGUAUAACAUUUAUUUAGCUUUAUUCUUGUUAAAUCUAUACUUUCUUCUUCUAAACUAUCCACCAAUACUCAAAGCCUACAUGUAAGAGACACGUAUUACAAACUCCCUAACCCAGUCAUAAAAAAAGUAAGAUCAUACAUCUAGAUUUCCUAAAUAGUUUCAUAUUUUCUUAAAUAUAGAAAGAUUUUCGCCGGUGCGGAACUCAAGCGAACAUGAAUUUAGCUGCGAAUCCGACCGCAACAUGAACUACUGAUCAUCCUUCUAUGCAGCUUGAAAAGAAACACAAAAUAAACGCUAUGUUUUUAGCCAACCGAAGACCGCUUUUACCUUAUGCCAUAUCAUCGCAGGUGUACAAUACUUUUGUAACAUAUGCCUUGUUUAGUUCCAAUUUUUUUUGCAAAAUAUGAACAAUAGCACUUUCGUUUGUAUUUGACAACUAUUGUCCAAUCAUGGACUAACUAGAUUCAAAAGAUUCUUCUCGCAAAUUACAGAUAAAUUGUGUAAUUAGUUAUUUCUUUUAUCUAUAUUUAGUGUUUCGUGCAUGUGCCGCAAGAUUAAAUGUGAUGGGAAUGCGAAAAAUUUUGCAAAAUAUUUUAGGAACUAAACAAGGCCAUACUAUCCUUCCAUGUACCGGUUGACAAACUCGAUGAUUGUUAAUAAGCAUGACUAUGAUAUUUAAUAUUUUCAACAUAUAUCAUUAUUUAUUUUUAGUAUUGCUCAAAGCACCGUUGUAUCAUUUGCUCUUGCGCGCCGGGGCGCGCACAAUCCACUAGUUACUCAUCAUCCUCAUCCCGGUCUGCUCCCGGCCAAUGGCCAAGAUAUUUUGCAGGCAAAAGCGUCUCUUCUCGGGUCUCCAUCGAAUAAAUGGAUACGUUUCUUUGUGAGGGUUUAGUUCUGAAAUUUUUCUAGUUUGGUUACUAUAAUAUUUUUGUUUGUAUUUGAUAACUAUUAUUCAACUCUGAACUAACUAAUUUUAAAAAAAUUAUCUCAUAAAUUAUAACUAAACUAUAUCAUUAAUUAUCUUUUAUCAUGUUCUAUACAUACAUUAAAAAAUUUAAUAUAACAAUAAAUCUUAAGAAUUUUUGAACUAAACCAGUCCAUUUAUGUGCGCACAUGGGGGCCGCACAUGCCGACCAGCAGCCCUCGCAACUUGGAGCAGCAAGUUGCAUCCAAUUCAGACGGGAGCACGGAGCAGCAGCCACUGUCUCACGCGCGCUAUUUGAGCAGACCUGACGGCCGAUUACUAGCCACAGAACAGAACAGGUUCCGUCCGCUCGCCAUGGAUUAUUAUUACCCAAUGGAAAUGGAGGAGCAUCCAGGAUUCUUCCGGCCGGCGCAGCUGCCAUGGCAGUGGCAGUGGCAGUGGCAGUGGCGCCUCUUCUCCCUCCUCUCGUCCCAGCCGCCGGAGCUGCUCCCGCCGCGGCGCCCCCCGGCCAACCAUGUCCGCUGGGAGGAGACCGCCGCCGCGCACCUCUUCUCCGCAAGCCUCCCUGGUAACCCCCACUCGAUCCCUGACAGACUCGCGCGUGCUGCUCGCCGUCGUCGGUCGGUGCAGCCACCACCCACCAGCCAGCCAGCUGAGCUGAGCUGAGCCGAGCAACUAGCAAGGUCGCCUUCUUCUUCGGUUUGGCGUUGACGCUCGCUCUGUCUCUGUGUGUCCCCGUCAGGCGUGCGCAAGGAGGAGAUUCGGGUGGAGGUGGAGGACGCCAGGUACCUCGUCAUCCGCACCGAGCUGGACGACGACGACGACGCGGGCGCGAGGAGCUUCGGCCGGAAGUUCCGGCUGCCGGGGAUGGUGGACGUGGACGGCAUCGCGGCGGCGUACGCCCACGGCGUGCUGACCGUGACGGUCCCGCGGAUGCACACCCGGGCCAGGCCUGUUGCCGGCGUCCUCGGCGCCGGCCCGGCCCGCGACCACGCGGCCCGGGCGGCCUGAUUCGUGAUUUAUGGGGCCUUGUUGUAGCAUGUACACGUGAUGAUUUGGUUCAUCCAAUUGCAAUGCAACUCAUUUGCUUGUUAAAUUAAAAAAUAAAUAAAUAAUCUUAUGUGUCAUGGAUCAUGGUGCGCUACCUUCACUGAGCCCUCCUAAUCAAUUAUUUUAUUCCCUCUUUUAUCACCGAUGCACGCGGAGCCGCACAAAGAUAUCGGUCUUAGGCCUUGUUUAGUUGCGACAAAUUUUGGAAAAUUGAUAAUGUAGCACUUUCGUAAUUCGUUUCGUAAAUUCCGACCAAAUUGUGUAAUUAGUUUUUAUUUUCGUCUAUAUUUAAUACUCCAUGUAUGCGUUUAAAGAUUCGAUGUGACGAGAAAUAUGAAAAAAUUUGCAAAAUUACAAGGCCUUAUCUCCUCCCGUCGUUCUAGCUCAGGCCUUAUUCCGACCGCGGACGUGCAUCCGCUUGCUCCCCAGCCGCGCGCGUCGCCCUGCCCCUGCAUCUCGCCACCCGUGUAGCCGCCUCCGCCUCCCCGCCUCGCGCCUCGUGGCUGUGCGGCCGUAACCUUGCCCAAGCCUUCGCAACUCCCCGCCUGCACCGCCCCCACCUUGGGCUGUCGUCCGCGUGCACGAGAAGGGUGUUUCGAGGAGGGCCCACACACACAGAACCUUGUUUAGAUUUUUUUUGAAUUUUAAUAUUUUCGUUUUUAUUUAACAAACAUUGUUGAAUUAUAGAGUAAUUAGAGCUUUGUUUAGUUCCGAAAAUAUUCUUAAAUUUCGGUACUGUAGCGUUUUCGUUUUUAUUUGACAAAUAUUAUCCAAUCAUAAACUAACUAGACUUAAAAAAUUCAUCUCGUGAUUUAUAGGCAAACUGUGUAAUUAAUUUUGUUUUUUAUAUAUUUAAUGUUAUCCACAAGAUUCGAUAUAACGUAGAAUCUUAAAAAAAAUUUGGUUUUUGGGAUGAACUAAACAAGGCCUAUGCUUAAAAGAUUUGUCUCGUGAUUUUCAACUAAAUUAUACAAUUAGCUUUUUUUUAUUUAUAUUUAAUGUUUUAUACAUGUGCCACAAGAUUUGAUGUGACGGAAAAUCUUAAAAAGUUUUUUGAGGUGAACUAGACAACCCCCCAGAAGCUUCUGAUGAGUUUGGAAUUGGAAUGAGAUGGGAAUAGUGAUAGAAAUAAAAAAAUAUUAUAUUUAGUCAUUCAUUCUUUACAUCUUUAUUAGGUUUUUUUUUGCACGGCUCCACUUCGCUAGCGAAGGUGUUUUUUUAGACUUUAGCUCCAUGAAUAGCUCUAUCGGUGGAGCUAGAGCUAUUUUGAUAUUUUUUUUUAGCAAAAUAGCUCUUUCCAUAAAAUGCGCUCUCACGGAACGUCAUGUAAGAUGAGGUAAAGCUGAAAGAAGCUAUUAUUUUUGGCUCCGCACGCCAAAGUUUUGUAAAAGCAUAUUUUUAGAGGUUUUAUUGGUGGACCUAUUUUAUUUUAUUCUAUUUUACAUAAAACAGUUCCAAAAAGCUCUUGAAACCGUGAAUAAACCUGCCAAACACGGCUUUAAUAUUAAUAAUUUAUAUUAAUUUCCUUCUUCGCAGUCUCACCCCUUAAGCCCUUGUUUAGGCCUUGUUUAGUUAGCAAAAAUUUGGGUUUUUGGCUAUUAUAGCACUUUCGUUUUUAUUUAACAAACAUUGUCCAAUCAUGGAGUAACUAGGCUCAAAAGAUUCAUCUCAUAAAUUACAGAUAAACUGUGCAAUUAGUUUUUAUUUUCAUCUAUAUUUAAAGCUCCAUGCAUGCGACCAAAGAUUCGAUGUGACGGGGAAUCUUGAAAUUUUUUGGGAACUAAACAAGGCCUUAGUUCCCUUAAAAACUCAUUUUUUUUUAAGAUUCUCCGUCACAUCGAAUUUUACGGUGCAUGUAUGGAGUAUUAAAUAUAGAUAAAAAAAACUACUCCCUCCGUCCACGAAAGAGUCAAUUUCUAGAGUUGUCCUAAGUCAAACUUUUUAAACUUUGACCAAAUUUCUAGAAAAAAAUGCUAAGAUUUAUAAUAUCAAAUUAGUAUUAUUAGAUUCAUCAUAGAAUAUAUUUUCAUAUAAUGUGCAUUUUAUAUUAUAGAUGUUGUUACUCUUUUUUCUAUAAAGUUAGUCAAACUUUAAAAAAUUUGACUGGCACAGAUUCUAGAAAUUGAUUCUUUCGUGGACGGAGGGAGUAAUUGUACAAUUUGCCUGUAAAUCGCAGAAUGAAUCUUUUAAGCCUAAUUAUUCUAUGACUGGACAAUAUUUGUUAAAUAAAAACAAAACUGCUACAGUAUUUCAGGCCAAAAAAUUUUUAGAACUAAACACGGCCAUCCCAAUAUAUCAAACGGGGCCUACUUCUCCUUCCAAAUUGCACAAAGGCCCCUCUCUGAAACCCGAAUCCCGCAAAUCCAAAUCGAGCGGGAGAACCCCGAAAUCCAAAAUUCCCCAAACCCCCUUCUAACCCUAGCCGGCUAGCCCCCUCUUCCCAUUCACACCUCCGAUUCCUCGCGCCCUCGUCUGAGUCGUCUCCCGCCCAAUUUCCAGAAGCUUCUGGAACCGGGUUUCUAGCCCUAAUCCCGCAAAAGGAUGCUUUCUUGCGCCUAGUAGCCUGGGACGGAGGCAUGGACAGCGGCGGCGGGGAGGUUGGCUCGACCGGCGGGAGGUUCCCCAUUCUGCAGGCGAACAGGGACCCCGAGUCGAAUUGGGAGCUGGAUGUUGCCAAGAGCCUCGAGGAGUACCUGCUCAAGAUCUGCUCAGGGGAGGUCUCCGGCGAGGACGGGGCCCACUCCGUCAACUUUGCCGAAGGUACGUUGGUGCGGAGGGCCGGGGUUUCUUGCGGUCAACGUGCGGCACUUCUUUACAGCGGGUGUGCUAUCUGUAGGGGUCUGGAGAGCUGAGAAUUGGGUGUGUGAGGUUAGAAAUUUUGACACUUUGGGUGGAUUGACUAUGGAUGGAGGCUGGUUGUGGACUUGAUUUUGGGUGGUGUUAUUUCCUUUGCCUGAAUAAAUGUUAAAGGAAGUAGCUUCUUUCUAGUUGUUUAGCUCACCCAAGGUUUGGCCUUUCUAAGGACAAUUUAAUAUGAGCGUUGCAUCAGAAUGAAGUUCUUUUCUGUUUUCAAGUCAGCAGUUGCCCUGUUAAUUUGUGUUUUCUUAUCUGCAGCGGCGUUAUUACUCCAAGGAUCGGUUCAAGUGUACAGUAGGAAGGUGGAAUACUUGUACUCAUUGGUGCUUCACGUGUUAGAGUUCCUCUCGCAAAAGAAGUAAGGAAAGAUUGAUGCUGCUUUCAGAUUUAUCCGUUAUGUACUAAUUGCUUCCCUGGACACUGUAUGUAAUAUUUACCUGUCGAAUGUGGGCCUGAAACCGACAGAGUGACAAAUGCAUUAUACAUUUUUGCGCAUCUUAAAUGAGUAGGCUUUAAAAAUGUCACGUGGCAGACAAACAUUUGCUGCUUGGUUCGGAAACCAUAAAGUUUCAAAAUAAGGCAUCUGUAUCCCCCUUAUAGGAACCUCGAUGAAGUAUGCCUAUUUCAGAUGAUCUCCGCAUUGGCACCUUUCAUUCUUCCUCUUGGCACUCCAUCGUGCCGGACAUUUUAUUAUCUUAAACUCUAUAUGUAGCUCCCAAGCAUUAAGCUCAAUUAGAUGGCCCAAAUCCAUGUUCACUUGGUUAGAUUUACUCUGUGCUCAAAGGGAUCAAUGCCAACAUAUUUCUAAACGAAGGCCUUUCUAUACUUUGGAAGAUAGUUAUCUAAUCAUGGUACUAAGGCAUCACCUAGGUGCAGGGGUGGAGCUACAGCUUGCCCUCGGGGUCAGCCGACCCCGACGAAGUUUGGAAAUUCCGAUGGAAUAUUACUUUUUUUUUUUCCGAAUCGAGGACAUCCCCAUUUCCAUUCACAGAACGGAAAUACAAGCGUUUGUGAGAGUUUUAAGAAGAAAAGAGAGAACACAGAGUUGCGCUUAACCUCCAGCGCAAGAGGGACCUACCCAGACACCAGACUGCGCUUGACCUCCAGCGCAAGAGGAAACUAGCAGAAAAAAACAUAAAAGGCAGACUUGCUUCAGCGACUAUGACUUUCCUAGUCAGAACUUGCAACCAGAUAGACUAACAUCAAAACCCGAUGGAAUAUUACUUGCCAUUGGUCAGCCGACCCCGACGAAUUUUUGGAAAUUCCAAUGGAAUAUUACUGUGUGUAGAGCUAAUAGUUCCUAAUGGCCAUGCCAUUGUCAGACAAGACCCUCAUGGUCAUCUGGCCCAGAUUCACCCCUGCCUAGGUGUUGCUUUUGGCAUAUAUGGUGGUCGGCAGUAACUUCCAUAGUUGACGCUUUGCCUAAUGGUUGCAUGGAGAGAAGGGGAGGAGAUGAACACAUCUAUGUUAUUGCAAUUUGGGCCUCCUUGCAAUGCCAAUUGCCAUCCUCUGGGGCUGAAGACUCAUGUGGAUGGAAGGAGAGAAAAGAGAUGAGAUGGAGAGAAGCAAAGACGCAAUGGUAAACAGGUGAGGCCGAUGAUUCCUAUCAUGGCUCACCUGUAGCUAAAUUGCCAGUGUUUUAUGCGGGCCUUAUAAAUCCUGUCCUUUUACCUUUUUUUUUUCUUUUUUUAUCUGAGCCAACCUUGCCGCUUCCACAAUACCAAUGACUCCAUUGCCUCCUCCUUUGUUUCACCAUUGCUGCUACUACUCUUAAUAUCACUGGAAGCAUGUCCUCCUUUACUGCCUUGAACCCUGUUGCACCUCCAUUCUAGAGAGGAGGGUGCACAUUGCCUCAUGUACACCUUAGGUGCCUAGGUGUCAAGGUAGUUGGCAGGUAUGCCAUCUUGCCUUACUGCUUGAUUACUUCAAUCCUACAUUGGAACACUCUUUAAGUAGUGGGAAAAAUGCUGCAAUAGUCUGAUAAACAUCUUGCAACUCUCAGCUUAUAGCACUGCUGGGAGAAAAGAAUUCUGAUUCAUCAAGUUGUCAUUGUCUGUACAAGGGUGGUUCUUAUGAUUGUCUAGAUCAGCGUGAUACCUUGGGUGUUCAGCAUUUAAAUGAUAUUUUGAGGAUUUCUCUAAUACUAUCACAUGCUAAUCUUUUCUUAUUAUUAGCUACAAUAGUCUAAAUCAUUAUAACUAUACCAGGCAGGAUCAACUGGAAAAUGGCUUGGUUCAAGCUAAUCAAAACGACCCUAGCAUGAUUCCCAGUGAAGAAGAUGAUAUAUUUAUGGGGUUAGAUGAUGUCCCAGGUAAGUGGAUCCUUCACUGAAUGAGCUUACUUUGAAUGUCAUGGAGCUAAGAACAUUUGUCUAACCCUUUUUAAAUUUACCAGUGGAAACAAGGACAUCUCUGGAUAACAAUGUCAAUCGAGAUGAUUUACAAAGAAAAAAUGUGAGGCCACCAGCAAAUCUACUGGUGUUUGAAGGGGACUGUCUGGAUAGUGAAGCGAGUGAGCUAGACACAUAUUUGGUAAACUUUCUAUCCCUUUUAUUUCAACUGCAAAACUGACCACUUUUUACUUCCAUACUGAAAUACUCAUAGUUAUAUAUGUAUUGCAGUUAGCAACAUGUGAUUUUUAUGGAGAUUUCCUUCUGCUGGAUCCUUGUGAUGCACCAGCUAUUUUUGACUUUCUGCAAGGAAAACAUUCUGGUAAAGAAAAUAGUGUGGCUCAUCCAGGCAGUUCAGCACCUUCUAAAAGCCGAGCCAAUGUUUUCAGUUCCCCAAAUUUAAGAUCAGCGGGCACAGGUCGUAAAUCGGCCGCUGGAAAAGUCCUAGGAGGUCUAGAUCCAACCCAGGAGAAUCCGGACCAAUCAACUCAAGGAACCAGUCCGGAUAACAACCAUUGGUCUGAUCCUGUCGAACCUAGCUUUGCUGAUGAUGUUGAAAUGCCUAACCCAGAUUAUAUAGAGGAUCCUGUUGGAGAUUAUUCUGAUGACGAGGAUCCAUGGAAACCUUUGAAUCCACAUGAACCUGGCAACCUAAAGAUCCGGCCUUACAGGAGAGGUACAGGAAGCUGUUGUUUAUGGAUAUCUCUCUUUCGUUUAGUGCCUUGUAAAGCUAUUUUGAUGACCUAUGUAUUGAUCUGUCUUUACUGAUCUGUUUUGGAGCAGUGAAAGGUUCUCCACGGGGGGUUAUUGGCACUCAGAAAAAGAAAACUCUCACAUUUCUAUUUCCUAUGGCAAAGAUGGAUGGCGUCGUCAUACCUGAACAUGCUAAAUCUUUUGAAGCACAGCAGUGUCAGCAGGAGGAACAUUAUGAAAAGGUACUCAGUGUCCAUGUAAAUUAGGCAUGUCUAAUCUUUUGAUUUGACUUAUUUAAUUUAUAUCUUUUUGGUGAAAUAGAAAUUAUUUAAUUUUUUAACCAUCCAACAUGCAGUUUUUGAGAUCAUUUGAAUUUGGAGAAGAAAAUCCCAAUGUGUUUGGAGAUUUGAAAGAUGACAAUGGAUCAAAUACUGGCAUUAAUUUUGAUGAUGAUGAUCCAGACAUGCCAAACGACAUAGAUGUUGAUCCUGAUGUUCCAGCAUAUCCUGACGAGGUUUAUUUUAUUGACAUUUUUGUUUGUUGGUUGCUGUGUUAAGCUAUCCAACAUUUGGGUAAUAUUACAUUUUUAUUUUUCGUCUGUUCAGCCUAUUGCUGCAACUCCCAAUGGUACACAGGAUGACAUAGAUACACAUGCAAGCCUUGACGACUUGUGUCGGUCACAUCUGGUGAGUUUUUUAAUGGUUCUAUAGUCCAUUUACAUCUAUGUCUUGUGCGGUUACAAGCAUCUUGGUGCCCUGUAAGUCAAUAUGUUAGCUAAAUGUAUGUUAGGAGUAAGCAUGUCAAAACAUGUUAGGAUAAAGCUUACUAUAAUAGAUUAUUGCUGCAGUGGACAAAAUUACCUGUAGGAUUAGUUGCAAUAUCUUCCGUCUUCCCAGGUCCCAACAAUUCUGAUCUUGAAUCUUUGUCAUGUGUUGGGUUUUACAGACAAGUUUCUGGAAUAAAGUGUCAUGAGGAACUGACUGCGAUUAGUAAAUUCCAAUAUCAGAUGUGGAGUUAGAUUCUUAGUAGUAGGUCACUUUUUAUUUUCUUUAGCGUAACAAGCUCUUUUGAUUUUGGUGCCGCCUAAGCCCUUUUCUGGCUUGGACAUGUGUGUGAUCGCACUUUCUAUCCCACUUAAUGAAACAUAUACAUGUUCAGGCGCGUUUGUGAAAAAAACACCUAAUGUCUUAAUUGUUGGUACUCACUCACAACUGACAGAUAGAGGUAGAAGAACACUGAGAACAGAGCACACACAGCACCAGCACAAGUCUGAAUGUGCAGCAACUGAACUGCUUUAUUAAUGGCAUGAUGUUAAAGCGAAGCUCUACUAACUUAGCUAUAUUACACAUCCACCCACACACAUAAAAUCUCCAAAACAUACCUGGAGGUGAUGCUUCAAAGCUUUUAUAUGAUUGGAAACUUCAUUUUGCCUGCUGAUUUCUAGAAUCCAAAUUGCAAUUGAGAACUUUAAUUUUUAGCUGCGUCCUGGAUUUGCCUUUGCUCUUCAACUUCCAAAACUGACAGAUAAUUCUUCAUACAGAAUGCUCUCCUUGCCAGCAUCGCUGAGGUUGAAAAGCAGAGUGAGAUGGAUGCUCGAGUUUCAACAUGGAAAGAAAGAAUUGAGGAUGCCUUGGAAGAGCAGGUUUGUUGCUGGCUUGAACUGCUUAGGGCGUCCGCAAUGGUAUUCAAUUGCUAGCUAUUUGAUCUCUAGGAAGAAUGUUGUUGGCUCUCAAUGACAAUUUGCAAAUAGCUAGCUUAGAAAGUCACUAGCUAUUAGGAAGUUACUAGCUAUUGUGGAGAGUAUUGUGAGAGUUAUUUCUAGAAGAUCGUGCUAGAUUAGCUAUUUAUGAGUCGCUAGCUAUUAGGAAGUCGCUAGCUAUUUGAUCUCUCUCCUCGAUAGCCAAUGAGAGUGCUACUUUUUUAUUAUUUUUAUACAUCAUCUCGCUAGCUAUUUCUAAAGUGCUAUUGAGAGCCAAUAGAAUUCCUUCUAGCUAGCUAUUUGAUAACCAUUGCGGAUGACCUUACAAUUUUGCAUCUAUGAACUUGUUUAGCGCUCACCCCAAUAUCCAUCUCUUGUCAGGAUAAAAACCCACCUUUUGAUAUCGGUUCAUAUGGGGAGCAAAUUCUUGACACACUUUCAUCUAGAACUGACAAUACAGGAACUGCAUCUUUUAGUGAGAUUGUUAGCGGCAGACCAAAGUAUGAGGUUGCCAGAACAUUCUCUGCCCUUCUCCAGCUGGUAAACUUCCCUUUUCUCCCAGUUUCAUAAUCUGGUCGUCUGGUGCAACCCCAAGCAUUUCUUAGCCAUGUGAAUGUUACAGGUGAAUGGCAGAAGUGUUGAUCUGGACAAAGGACAAGCCACAAAUGAGUUGGUGUGUUACACAGCAGAGAAUCCAUUCCAUGUAAGGCUCAUUGGUCCCAACCGGAGGCCAGAAAUGGAGGCACGCUUUGCUCGGAAGAGAGUCAAGUCGCCACUGCAAAAUACAGGCAAAAGCGGUGGGUCCUCCCUGGCACAGCAUGAGUGCUCCAAGAAGCCGUUGCAUAAAAAUGGCAAGAUUCCAGUCAAGACAGCGAUCAGGCUUACUCCAGAUGGGAAGCGAAGGCGAAGGUCAGCCACUCACCUAAUGCAGCCGAUCAAUCUGGAAUACAGCGGAUGAACGCCAAUGGCAGACUGACUCAUGGGCAUCUAGAGUCUGAUUCUUCUAAUUGUUGUGACUUCAGUGGCGGCUUCAUAGGCAGGACGAGCUGUGACCUGUAAGUUAUGACAUAGGCGUAGCUAGCAGGUGUACAUGUACAAUAGUUCAUUGUGCUGUUUUGUAUGUAUAUUGGUAUCAGCUCUCAAGUGUAAUGCUAACAGGGCAAGAAUUGUUGGACGGACUUGCCCUUUCAUAGCGGUACAGACAUCGAUAGAUUCAUUUCUAUUUCUAAUUCAAUAAACUAGCACUAUGCCGAGUCUAUUUUAUGCCAGUUGCUGGUGCUUUUAUACUGUUGUUAAAACUGCAUGAUUCAACCACUGGUACCUGGCUACAAUGGAUGCCCUCCCUCUGCAAUUUCAGAUUUAUGUUAUUCUAAAAAAUCUAUGCAAAAUCUACUUUUUUUAAAAAAAAAAUCCAUCUGUAUCCCUAAUCAUCUGUCGUCUAAAGCAGCCAUGAAAUGGCAACCAGAAAGACACAGAACACGAAUAAACAAUUUCUCUCAUGCACAUUCAGGGGUGUUUUGUUUGCACUCGUUUUUUUGUUUGGUAUGUGAAACUCAUAAAUACUAAACACAUCAAAAGCUGAAGCUGAAACUCAUAAAUACUAAACACAUCAAAAGCUGAAGCUGAGGACGACUCAGUGACAAAUGGACUUCACUCUUUAAGUCUUUUUUUUUAACAUCACUCUUUAAGUCUUAACCAAGACAUCAAGCCGAUGAUUCUCACACCUGCGAUACAAAAUAAUCACAAAACAAAACCAUCCUGGCUACCUAGAAAGAUUUUCGACAGUUGCACCGUAGUCACCUCCAGUUACAUGAAAACCUUCUACGACCAAAUGAUUGUACAACAAAACGUCAGAUUAGCCUUUCAGCUAGCUAUACUGCCGACGCGUUAAGUACUAGUGAGUGAGGAGAUGAUAGAGAGUGGUGGCCUCCCGAAGCCGCCGCAGGUUGUUCGCCUUCGCAGCUCCGGUGCGUCCAUUCCUUGCAGAAACAAGAGCCCGUUCAGCGGAUCAGACAUCGGCAAGGGCAAUUAUGAUUCGAAAAAAAAAACCCAACAACCUAGCAUCAACGGAAGGUUACGAACUGAUGCAUUGCAUUACCUCUUGUCGAGCUCCACCUUCUUUUCCAGGUCUUGCACCAGAUUGUGCAGCCUUUUGAUGUGGUGACUCAGCGCUUGGACUGUUUCAUGGCCUUCCUUGGAUUCACAUAGGCUUUUUAGAAUAUCAGACGCGAUGAAGAACACGUCUGCUUUGUUCCUAAGCACAUCCAUCCCACCAUAUAAGAAUGGCAUGCCCCAAAACACAGCUUAUAAUACAGACAAGUAUAUGAUGCUCACAAACCAACAAACUCUAAGCUGUAUCCAUUCUUAAUCUAGUAUAUGCUCAAGAUCUAGAAGAACAGAGCUUUGGAGGGAGGCACUAACUACAGCUAAGCCUCUGUUGAGAGAAAAAACACCAAGCAGAUCAUAGUGAAUUAGUGACACGAAUAUGCAGCAAGAAACUAACCAGGCAACGUAAAUACAGCAUGUGAACUUGAGCAUUGCAUAAUGCAUACUACAUAUACAUACCUCAGUAAUUCCUGGAAGAUGAUUUUAGUAAAUUCUGGAGUGCUGGAUAACACCUGUCUAAGAUUUGCACAGCGAGCAAUGUUCCUGAGAGUAAGGAACACUUGCUUCAAGACUUCCUGGUCAGCAAUCCCACGGUUCAGCAAAUGGAUUUGCUUCAGCAAUAUAUCUACAGCACCAGCAGUGACUAGUGUCUCGCAGCAUUUCUUGGAAUACUCUGUAGCACUACCUGUAGGAGAAAGAACAUAUAACCUCUUAGCUCUUGAACAUAUAACUGGCAAGUUGAUGGCUAAACUGAGACAACUGGGAGUAUGAUAUCGCAAUCUUAUGCCCCAUGAAUAAUCUAGGUUGGAGGAAAAAAAUAGAAAAGGGAGCACAGGGCUGUAUUUACUCAAUGUUGCACAAGUUUGACGAAUGCUGUGUAUGCUCCGACAGUGAUGGAGUUGUGACAGUGCAGACACCAGUCUGUUGAUUAGGCGCAUACUAUCAUCAACUUGUGAAGAAGACUUCUGCAGUCUAGAUCUUAUCUGUGCAACUGCUUGCUUCGAGGCCUUCCUCACAAGGUAGGCUUUGACAUAGGACUGCGACAAUCAGUUAGAUAAAUGUCAAUGAGAAAAGUGAACUUAAUUACAAUUGUUUUUCUAUGAAUAGAAGGAUUUUUGCGUAAUGAAAUCAUGUUUCAUACAUUUGGUAUCUAAAUAGAUCCAUGAAUUUGAUUUCCAUAUAUCCAACUAACAAAAACACGCAUACAGUACCUGUAUUGUAGUAAUACUUUUUCUAGUUCUAGAAGCAACUUGCCGUGCUAUCCAACCACGGAAAUGAGCCUGGAUAACUAAAACAGCUUGCUUCCUCAAUUUAAUGAACAAAACCUUUCUCCACCAUCUCUGCAAACAAAUUUAUCAAGUAUGAAAUCAUUUAGUAAUCUGUGUAUAUCAAAUAAUAAGAAAAGAAAUUUGCAGAGAUCAGUCAUCGCCUCUUUGUGUACCUGUAUGUUACUAAUAGAGAUUCUAGUUCUGAUAGCAUCUUGUCGUGCAAUCCAACUACGGAAAUGAGUCUGGAUAACAAUUGCAGCUCGCUUCCUCGAGUGGAGAACCUUUCGCCACCAUCUCUGCAAAUAAAUGGACCAGAUUAAAGUAACUCUUUUGAUACUUAAAUUAUGGUACUACCCAGUCUACAAGCAUUUUGAAAAAAUAGCAUACAUACUUGAAUAAUGUUUAUGCAGCAGAAAGUUUGAUUUAGUUUUUUCCGUGCCAAACAGCCACGGACAAAAGACUGGAUUGAGAUCACAGAUGUUUUGACUGACUGAUGCAUCAGGAACUUCCUCCAGCACCUUUGUAGCCUUAUGACAGAAUCUAGCACAAUGUUCAACUCAAGGCUUUGAUAACAUUUUCUCUUUUGACUUUGGUCAACUACACAAAGUCUUGUGUAGGUUCGCAGUGAAGAAGAACCUAUAUAAGUAGCAUCAGUCAGUAAUACUUAGAUAAUGCAAUACAAAUCACAUCUUAGCAACUCUACAUCCAUAACACAAAUGCCAUAACAAAGGUCAAUAUGCAACAAAAAUAUAUCAAGGACAAUCUAAGAUGUACAAACUAACCUAACAGUCUCUUUCUAGCCAACCAUCCUCUGACAACUCUCUGAAUCAGUACUGCAGCGAGUCGGUGGCUUUGCAAAGCUUGGAGGCACAAGAAUACUCUUAUUGAUGUUUGGAUUCCUACAAUAGCCUGAACUUGCUUUGUGAAGCCCUUGCGUACUGAAUAGCAACGCCACUGGCUCUGGAUUUUAAUUGCAGCAGUUAUCCUGUUUCUAUUGUUCAAAUAUCUUCGGUAUGCAUUUUGUAUCCUUUGAGCAGCAACUAGUUCCUUGCAAACAGGGAAAUAAAUACAGGUAGAUACAGGCUUUAAGAAUUCCUGAGAAGAAAUAUUACUGCUGCACUCCAUGUCAUCCACACUCACAAGCAUACUGAUGGAAACUGCAUUGGAUGUCUCAACCACACAUGACUGACAAUUGCUCUCAAACAUAUCCAAUGGAGAUUUGGGAGGAGGUAUAGACUCAUGCCCACUUUUCCAUAGCUGAGUGGUAGAAGUUAUAGAGUUGCGUUGACUGCCGCUAAGCUGCAGUGGAGUUGUUGAGUCUAGACUAUCCAUGCCAUCAAAACAUAGAAUAUGAGGAGCAACAGAAGCUCUCAAUGUAUCCUCAUCCUCACAGUGCUCCACUGCAGAAAGAAGAUAAGACAAAUUUCACUAGAUUGCGGAAAACUGUUAUACUACCAUCAUAAUAUGGUGGAAUUCACAAAAUCAUAUUAUGUACAGUUAUGGUUAUGGAGAAUAACAUUUGACAAUAAUAUUACCAAAUUUCAUUUCAGCAGAAGAAACUUACAAACUAAAGAAUAGUUAAAGAACAAACCCUGGUUGGUGCAUGCACCAUCUUUUUCAUCUGUCUGAGAGGGAUGAUACUUCGUAUCAAUCUUUCCUCGAGAUCUACGCCUUGCUGAAACCUUAGUCUCCGCACACUUAUAGUCCAACCUCAUGUUGAUUAAAUUCUUUAGAUGGCCCUAUAUGAAUUAAAGAAGAUGUUUUAUGCAUCCUGAACAGGACUUUAACACAAGGAGGGAAAAUUUGAAAGUGACAGCAACUAUUACCAAUCUUUCGUCAUUAGUCAGAUGUGAAGAUAGGAACGCUAGCAAAAGAAUGGUACUCUUCUCAUCAAAUAAUACACCAUCAGCUAAGAUGUCACUUGCUGGAAUAUCCUGCACAUUGCAGAAAAAGGUCUGAGAAAGAAACUACUGAUUUUGCAAAAAAAAAAAAAAAAAAAAAAAAAAAAAAAAAAAAAAAAACCACUUACCACCACAUGAAGAACAUCGGUGAGUAUUUUCCCCAUCUUGCUGGAUGGACAGCUAGUGAUAUCAUCAGUUAUAGUAUCAAGUUGGUGACAGGUGAACAAUUCCUUUCGGCAUCCAGUUAGUGUUUCCUAAAAACAAUAAUCAACAAGAAAUGUUGAGCAUGUUGAUAUCAAAGUGGCACAUAAAGAUAAAGGUGUAAUUACAAUGCAAACACAACACAAAAAAUUAUGACGGUUCAGGAGAACCUUGGGGGGUAACAUAUCAAUGUUCAAAUAAUAGUUGAUGAGGCAGUUCAAUGCUCUUCUGUCAAACUGAGAUGAGUUUUCAACAGUCAUGCCAUACUUUGAGCAUAUUGCCUGCAGAAGACAAAACAACAUAGGUAGCAAUUAGACAAUAAAGGCAGGGUUGUACGAUUAGCACAAUACAACUUCAAAAAUAGUAUGCUUAAAAGGAUACUAGAUCAAAAUGACCAAAACAUUUAAGAUUAACAAAAGAUCAAUGCUGUUACUGUGUUGUCUUUGAGCUUGCAAUAUAUUGAGGCAGUGGUUACAUCAAGAAUAUCGUAUACAAUGUGGUGCACGGAAACCCAGGCAUGAGCAUUUUCAGCAGAAAGGAUACAAUGAAAUGGCAAUGACAACAGCCUUUUUACAAACAAAAGAAUACUUAAUAAGCAUUUUUUAACAGUCUUGAUACUUCUUAAUGCAAUGAUACACAACACUCCUGUGCUUUUGAGAAACAAAAGUCUUGAUACUUUGUUCAUGAAUCAGGCUGAGGAAAGCAAUCGUUACAACUUCAAACAAAUCAUGUAAUCCAUGGACUCAUUUACUUUUUAGCACACAACUAUGUGAGCAACAGAUAAAAGAAACAAAGGAAUCCUUACCUGAACCCAAUUGUAAAGCAAACCCAUGUGUGGCUUGUUCUCAGACAUUUGUUGUUCCUGAAAUAAAAGAAACUCCUUAAUAGUAAACGUCCUCAGCACGUUCUCAAAAAGAAAUAGAACCCAUCCUUAAAAGUAACCAACAAAAGUCUCAGAUCAAAAUGAUAAGCACAGAAGCAAACAUAUACGGUAGGUCGGUAGCUUCAUCAAGGAACUUUUGUCUACCGUGAGCAAAUAAAAUACACACUGCAUGGUAUGUUGUCCCAUUCUAUCCACAUAUUUUUAACUGUUUAUUAAGACAGAUGAACGGAUCACUCACCAUUACAUGUACAUUUAGCCUGGUUAAUUCACGAGCUAGUGAGGCUGUGCUUGCUAACAAUGGUAGCUGCACAGGAGCAAAAGGUAACAAGAGUCAAUGAAACAUAUCAAUUAUUCUGGAAUCUGAAUGAGUUAGAUGAAAACAUUGCCUUGACCAAAAAAAAACAUUCAGAGACGUUUAGUUUACAAAUUGCACAGUAACCUAUAAAACCACUAUAUGAAUAAUAUAAUUUAACAGUUUGGGGUGAGAAUAGACAUUACGAUGAUAAGAUUAAAUAAUACACAUAACCACUAAGUAAAAGCAAUUAACGAAACCUAAUGAGAAUGAUGUGAAACUGAAGGUUGGUUAACUCCUACAGUGAGCAAUCUAGAACUCUAUAUCUUAGCAAUAAAAAUUCAAUAGCAUUAUAUUGAACAUUUGACCUGCAUAUGGAUGAACAUAUUCCACAGCAGUGAAAGAAUAAGCUCCUUAUCCCCAGCAGCGAUGUCUUCCGCCGAAAUUGUGACUCCAUCAGAAUCAGAUAAUGGAACCUGAGCUUGUUUGAUAUAUUGUAUAGCAGUGCUGCAGUUACUUAGCCUCUUCUUGUUUGUAUCUGAGGGAGCAAUUACUUUCUGAAAUGAAGCGAUUGGCACCGUAAAUCAAAUGCUAAUAGGAUCUGGCUGAUUAGUGUAGCAAAAGGAAAUUUUUACCGAAAUGAUUGAUGCAUCUGCGAGGAGCAGCUGAACAACUCUACAAAGAAUUAUGCCAUCUUGGAGAUCUUCAAAUAAACUCCUCAUAGUGAAAUCAUAUUCUGACAGAGCAGGCUGGCGAGAAAAAGAAAAUCAGAAUAAUCUGACAAUAUUCAAACAAAAUUUAAACUAUACCAUUACUGAAAGAAACUUAUACAACCAAAAACACAAAACCAAAUUGUUUGGUAGCAAUACAGCAAAUACGGAUACCUGUUGAUAAUUUAGCUUAUAUCCCAUAGUUGUGAGGUGUAUCAGAAUGUCACCUUCUCCAUGCAUGGUCUCCCUCAAAGACUCUAGAAUUAAGUAAUCAGUCAAAGAAUAGAAUGGCAACUCAAUAUAACACUUGCAUGGCACAGAAAAACAAAAAUAAAAAGCGAUGGAUUCAGCUAUAUUACCCUGAAUGAUUUGACGACUAGAUUUUAUUUGACCUUGGUGAGAAAAUAAAAGAGGGGAUCCACCAUCAAGGCCAUCGAUUCCAGCUUCGAGAGGUAGAGCACUUUCUAUUUUGGCUCUGUCUAGUGCAACAACAAGCAGAAAAAUUCUUUUCAAUAUAAUAUUGCCCAGCACUUCACUGUAACCUUGUACAUGGUGCUUUUCUACCACAUUCUUGUGACCAGAUGAUUUUGCAGUCAUCAUUUGAGAAAACAUAUACUUCUCCAGAAUUAGUUUUAGAAAAUGAACCUCCUUGUCCCAUUUUCCUUGUCCAGUCUGCAGCAAGGAAUCACUGCCAAGGACAAUAUGCAAGCCAAUCCUGAGCCAAUAUGGGUUGUAGGACAUGAAAAUCCUAGUUGCUUUCUCUUUGAGCCUAAGGUCAGUAACAAGGGGGCACUGUGCUUUCAUCUUCAAUCUGCCUUCGUCAAUGUUCUGAAAAAUGUGGGGGGAAAUACUGUGCCGGUUAGAGGGUAAUGAUUCUACUGUGUAAUAUAUGCUGAAAACUUUUUGCCAUUUAUAAGAACUAGGUAUAGUUUAGAAAAUAAGAAAGUGCAUGAGAAGUACUCUCUCUCUCUGUUCCAAAUUAUAUAUUGUUUUGACAUUUCUAAAUAUAUAUAUAGUUUUUAUUAUAUAUCUAGACAUAAGGUAAGCAAAAGCUAUGUACAAAAGCAAAAUGACGAGUACAGUUCGGGACAGAUGGAAUAAGAGUUUAAGAUACUAUAAUCGUUGCAGUCUCUGAUUUUUAGCAUAUCUUCUUGUGGAAAAUACUGCAGGCACUCUUAUACAGAUAACAAAGUGAUGCAUAAUAAGUCACCAUAUAUGUGUCAUAUACCCAUAUCCAAUUUUCACAUCUUACAUAAGUUAUUUUCAAAGACGAGGCUAUACUUUUCACAUCUACACUCGUAAUUUAAAUGUUACCAUGUCCAGCUCUUCAAAUACAAUCCAAAAAGAAAACGGACAACACAUAUCAGUUUAGCAGUUUGGACUCAGUCUAAAGACAGGACGAAAUUGGAUAAUUCAUUAUUUCAAAUUUCUAACCUAACAAUCCAAAAUUAGCAGAAUGUUAAAUGCCAAAGCCGUAGAGUUUGAACCCUCGAAAAUUUCUCACCUUACAAAUUUGAAACAUCAUGAAGAGCACCUCCUCACACGCACCCUUACUCAUGUAGUUCUCCAUCCUCUCCGUAACAUCCUCUAGGCUGCACGCCUCCCUCAGAUAUUCCCUUAACGCGGCCACCAUCGCCGGCGUCAUCUCCUUCCUCCUCUCCCCGCAGCGAUCACCAGCACCGCGGUGCCUCUUCGGGCUGCGCCCCCCACGCGGCCUCUCUCCAUCGAGCGCGCCGCGCUUCCCCGCAGCGCAGGGCUGCGCGGCCGCGGCGGAACCGGUGACCGCCGGGGAGCAGCCGCAGGCGGAGGGGUCGCGUAAGAGGAGCGACAGCCAUGACGAGGCGGAGGCGGCGAAGGCACGGAGUGCACGCUCGCGGCCGGACUCGGCGCGGCGGGCGGAGCGCGACUGGUCAACCUCGAACGCGCGGAGGCGGCGGCCGAGGGGCGUCAGGGUCGGGGCGCCGUUGCCAGGCCUCCGGCGGCCGCGUGGCGUCGGAGUGGGAGCAUGGAGUGGGGUUUUGGAGGCGGUGAAGAACUGCGGCGAGGGGGGUACGUCAUUGGGGUUGGGUCUCGGGGUGCGGAGGUUGGAGAGGUCGCGGAAGGGGGAGGCGGCGGGCUCGCCGCGGCUCAUGGCGGACGGGGAGGGACGUUCUAGAAGGUUUGGGGGGCGGCCUCCAUGGAUUCGGGAAGGUUCGAGGGGAGCGCGGGGGAUUGGGGGGAAGGGGACCGUGGCGUUCGAAUUACUGGGGACGGGGUCAGUAUUUGGCGUUUGAGCGGGAUUCAUGGUUUUGGAUGUCGAACGGUCGAAUUUCGAAAUGCACGCUCCUCUGUUGGGCCAGGCUUACAUGGGCCUCAAUCUAUUUGCAGUGGGUCCAUUUCGAAAUGCACGCUCCACUGUUGGGCCAAGGCUACUUGAGCCUAGGCUGUGGGGCACCAAGGCACACAUCAAUUUUUUUCAAACUUUUUCAGGUGAUGUCUCGUUUUUCUUUCGGUUUGAAACAUUUUAACCAUUCAUUCAUUCAUGCAGAGCAAAAUCAUUAAAUCGUAGCAGAAAAGUUGUACUGUAAUAAAUACCUAGAAUAUAUAUGUCUAUUGAUUGAAACUUUUGAGAAUUUUUUUUCUAAUUCUACUGAACACUUAGUACCUUUGUACUCUCUCGGUCCUAGCCGCUUUUGCACAGCUUACCAUUUGAAAUAGAGGGGUAUUUGCUUCGCCCUUGGAGUUAUGAUUUGUACUGCCUAUACCAGAGACCACACCAAAAUCAGUUGCGUGCCCCAAGCGACAUCUAUAACUCUUAUAAUCAUAAACUCCACUAACUAUUUCUCUAAACAUACAAACUAUCAACCUAAGCAAUACACUACCAUAUUUAAUUAAAAUCCACUAAAUAAAACCGCAAUAACUAUUUAUCUCAACAUGCAAUGCACUACCACAUAUACAAUUAAAAUUUUUUUUUGCAAAAUGGAUACUCUAUUAUUUUAGGUAUCAACAUAAAGUUUGGAUCAAAUGAUAGACGAGUACUAAGGCCUUGUUUACUUACAAAAUAUUUUGCAAAAUAUGAAUAAUACCAAUUUCGUUUGUAUUUGACAAAUAUUGUCCAAUCAUGGACUAACUAGACUCAAAAGAUUUAUCUCGUCAAUUCCGACCAAACUGUGUAAUUAGUUUUUAUUUUCGUCUAUAUUUAAUACUUCAUGCAUACGUCUAAAGAUUCGAUGUGACGGAGAAAUAAAAAAUUUUGCAAAUUUUUUUUGGAACUAAACAAGGCCUAAAAAAAUACAAACCAUUUCCCCCACUUUGUCCAAAAAAUGAGUUUUUUUAGAUUAUGGAGUUUGCAUUUAUUAAAUUAGUUCUAUCUUUUCACCGGUUUCUAUCCCAUAUAUUAUCACAGACAAGCAAAAAGGCACGGAGACGCGUGAUAGGGCGAAUUAGGAAAGGAGGCGGCAGACGAUGCCUUGGUCGCUUUCGAUGUUGGGAACAAGAACAAAAUGUAUAGUCGCCUUUCGUUUCUAGAUCGUGCAAAAGCAUCGCCGGCGCUUGCAUGCACCGAGCACUGUGCAUCGCUGUUGUUGCUCCUUCCCGUGCUAGGCGCACGAAAGUACCCGCCUACCCGGCCGUGUACCCGCUUGUGUUUUGAGCAGUGGCAGUGGCCAGCUGCGGCGGACAAGAAGGAGCCAGUCGUGCGUUGGUUCCCGGCGGCGGCGCUGCCCAGGGCACUCCCCACCUCGAGUCCUCCACUCGCGUCCACCUCCAUUUUCUUCGUCUCCCACUCGGAGUCAACUCGAUCAUGCAUCGUGGUCUUCCCUUGACGUGCAACGGUGCAAUGCGACCACGGCCCACUCGCCCAGCACUGGUCGUGCUCGGUGUCCGACCGUCACGUACCCGUACGACGGCACGCGAUUCGGGCAAGGCGGCAAGGCCCAGUUGGCGACUUCGCGGAGCGAAUCCUGCAGUACAGUGCGUGGCUGACGAGCAGGCGCACAGGCUUUUCUGACCGGCCAUUGCCCGUCCGCCACGCACGGCACACAGGACGGAGGCAACAGUGGCAGGCAGAGCGGCGCUCCGCUUCCCCGUUCCUCCCCGCCCGAAAGCACGAUGAAAAGGUGCUGCCAUAAACGGAAAAGACUUGGCACUGCGCACCAGCUAACCUCUCGCAUCGCAGUCUCGCCCGACCGACCGGACGGAUAGGAGCAGAGCCAGCCUCUAGGCGCAAGAGGCAACACGCAACGCAAGGAGGUCGAAGCCAACCAAAGAACCACUGCGGAUGGAGCCCAUGGAGGCGGCGGUGGGAGGGAAGGCGGUGGACGCGUACCGGAAGGCGCUGGCCACGGCGGCGUCGGCGGCGGCGUACGCGGUCAUGGCGCGCAGCAUGGCGCGGGAGCUGCUCCCCGAGGAGCUCCGCGCCGCGGCGCGCUGGGCCGCGUCGGCGCUGGGCGCACGGGUCGGCUGGGGCCAGAGGGACCGGCGCACGCUCGUCGUCCGGAGCCAGCCGAGCAGCACCGGCGCCGGCGCCGACGACAACCUCCUCUUCGAGGCCGCGCGGACGUACCUGGCGUCCAGGCUCGACCCGCGCGCCAUGCGCCGCCUGGGCGUCACGCUUGCGCGCGCCAGGGACGACGCCGGCCGCGCCAGCUGGCGGAGGCUCCUCUUCCUGGAGCCCGGUGGCUCCACCUUCGACGACUUCGAGGGCGUCCGCUUCACGUGGACGUGCGUCGAGCCGACGUCGUCCGGCGGCGCCAGCGGCGGCGGGAGCAAGAAGAAGGCCAAGAAAGGAGGCGAGCCCAGCGCCGGCGGCGACCGCGACUUCGUGCUGGAGCUCAGCUUCGACGCCCAGCACACGGACGUCGCCAUGGACCGCUACGUGCCCUUCGUCAUGCACGCCGCCGAGGAGGUGGAGCAGCGGGAGCGCGCGCUCAAGAUCUGCAUGAACGAGGGCCGGAUGUGGUACAGGAUGAGCCUCCACCACCCGGCCACGUUCGAGACGCUCGCCAUGGACCCCGCGCUCAAGCGCUCCAUCGUCGCCGACCUGGACCUCUUCAAGAGCAGGAGGGACCACUACCGCCGCGUCGGCAAGGCGUGGAAGCGCGGGUACCUGCUCUACGGCCCGCCUGGCACAGGCAAGUCCAGCCUCGUGGCCGCCAUGGCCAACCACCUCCGCUACAACCUCUUCGACCUCGACCUCUCCCAUGUGCAGUUCAACACCUCGCUGCAGUGGCUGCUCGUCGGCAUAUCCGACAAGUCCAUCCUCGUCAUCGAGGACAUAGACUGUUGCUGCGAUGCCGUGUCGAGGAAGGACGACAAGGCGCCGCCGGUGCGUACCUGCGGACGUAAAGAAGACGAUGGUGGCGACGACGACAUCGACGACGGCCCUGCACCGGAGUCGGGCGCUCCCCCACCGCGCACUGCUCCGCCGCCCAACAAAUCAAACAGCAAUCAGGUAACUAAACUACACCCGUUUAAAUCAAGCUGAUCUUCGCAGCGUUCACUGUUGUAUUGUAUCAUCAUAUGACUGACUCGACGCCAACAAUGGUGUCCGCCGUGCGCGCGCGCGCUCUGCCCGGGAACAACCUCAGGUGACUCUGUCCGGCCUGCUCAACUUCAUCGACGGGCUGUGGUCGACCAUCGGCGAGGAGCGCAUCAUCGUCUUCACCACCAACUACAAGGACCGCCUCGACCCGGCGCUGCUGCGUCCGGGGCGCAUGGACAUGCACAUCUACAUGGGCUUCUGCGGCCGAGAGGCUUUCAAGACGCUCGCCCACAACUACUUCCUCAUCGACGACCACCCGCUGUUCCCGGAGAUACAGGAGCUGCUCUCGGAGGUGGAGGUGACGCCGGCCGAGGUGUCGGAGAUGCUGCUGCGGAGCAAUAACGCCGACGUCGCGCUCCGGGGGCUCGUUGAGUUACUCGAGGACAAGAAGGAGAAGAAGAAGCAGGCAGUGCCUACUGAAGAGAAGCAGAGUGAAGAAGAAGAAGCUGGGAAGGAGGAAGCGGCAUCAAGGGAACAACCAUCGAAGUAACUCGAUCGCAUCGAGAGCUUGCUAGGGAACAAGAUGAACUGCUUUCUCUUGGUAUUUUGUUUUGUUUGGCAACAAGUGUCAUGUUGUCAAAUUGUCACGCUACUGCUUACUAGCAAGACACUGCUGGUAUACUUGCUGGUCUAUGCAUAACAUUGUAGUGGAUGGUAGCAGCUCGUCAUUAUGUUGCACUCUUUAGGCCUUCUUCCAUGUCAUGAUAUUUUGCAUGGUGAGGAAUUGAUGCCCCUCUUCGGAAUGGUGAUUUAUUGGAAGAAUAUGUAUGAUCUCUGAUCUAUGCUAUGCUAAAUCGCUAAUCCAACAGUGAUUAAGGCAUUGAACCACAACUCUUACCGCUCCUACAACGGGGCCCGUUCCCGUUACCUGCAGAGGGAACCGGGGCUCAGCAGCAAGUCCAAUUUGUUUUUUUCUCGAGAAACACCAGCAGCAAGAUAUAUCGUGCUGCAGAUCGAUACCAAGCCUUACCAUUGACUGAGUUUGAUUGAUUACACUGGGUUUACUUAACUAAAAUGGUGCUGAGGCAGAUACUUUGAAGCUCUUACGUAGUACUAGAGUUCUGUUUGAAGCAUUAAUGUCGAAUAGCAUUUUAUAAAUGCUUCAUCAUGAACCAUUUAUGUCUGUAAUGCUAAACGUUUACUAAAACAGACUGUUGUCUAAUGAAAUGUUUCAUUUCUGCCUUUUGUACUCGCUACCUUUUGUCCUUGGCAAGGCCUUGCAACGUUAUUCUUUAGAAAAUGUUGUUGAGUUAUGUUGGGUCUUCGGCUGGGUGUGCAAUGGGCCUCCAACGAGCUUCUUGCUCCCAGCUUGUCGAGUAAUUUCCACAAAAAUCGGUCAACUUGAACAUGUACCACACUUCCAUAAACCAUUACGGUUAUAACUACUAAAUAUAAUUUGUUGCUUACGCUCGGUCUAAAUAAAUAGUUUUCGUUUAAUAAAUCUUAUUAACAUAUUUGCUCCAAGUAUCAAAAUUUGUUAAUUUUCAUUUCAUAAAGUUUGAAACUUCUUUUACCUAUAAUAAGAGGACGUCGCAAAUAUAUUUUCUAACCAAACACAUUUUGUUUAUAUAAUGUAUCAUAUCUUCCAAAAAUGAAAUAAUUAUUGUGUGUCUGUUGUAGGAUUUAGUAUAAUAUAAUUGUAUUAGGACGUCAACUUUGUUAACCAUAAACGUGUGUAUGCUCGUACGUGCAGGUCUACUACGAGAAAAUGGGAAUUCUGCCAUUAUGGAAGGUGAGUUUCGCUGUUUUACCAUCCUAAAAAUGGGUUUCGCUCAUUUUUCAUUAUAAAACAUGUGCAACCCGCUAGAAUAUUAUUUGGUGAGUUUAGAGUUUAGAGAAAAUAAAGAACAACAUUUUCUUCUAGAUUUACCCCUCCCCUUUUUUUCUUCCAGAUAUUUUAGUAAUGGGAGUUCUCUUGCUUCAUACCUUGUAGCAAACUAUAGGCUCUUUAUUAGGGAUAUGAUCAAAGUAAUUUUACUAACUAUAGUUUGGUAAUUUUUAUGCGUAACUCAUAGUUCACAAUUUUGUUUCGCCGGUGCCUAUUCUAUGAUUACUAGGAAUAAAAAUGCUUACUCUAGGAGAGGAAUGCAUUGUGCUUAGUAAUGUAACAAACAUACAUACUUAGAUACAUACAUACACACCUAUUACCACAAGAUAAUAUACAACACCAUGUCAACAUCUAGCAACGAAGAACAACACAAUUUGAAUGAAUCUUAAUGAAUAUGAUUACUCAUUUCAAUAAGGUUAUAUGGACCAUAACACAACCUAUCAGUAAAUUGUUGUUCUUAUCUCGAAAUAGUUUAGGGAUUCUUGGAAGAUGGCUGUAGCAUCUGUCUGGCACAUCUAUAGUAACCAUUGAUAUAGAUCUUUAAUAUUAAGUAUAAAUAUAGAUAUAGAUAUAGAUAUAAAUUUUUAAUAUUAUGUAUAGAUAUAGAUUAAAUAGAUCGUCAAUCUAUUUUUAUAAUAAGCUCUUUAGAGAUACAAAUUGCUAGUAUUUUGCACAAUCCUAGUCAAGUUUCCCAUGUGAACAAAUAUAAGGGCACUACUAAUGGAUGCUAACACUCAUAGUGGUUUUAGUACAAAUAAAGUGAUCCAUGUAGACUAAAAUUGUUCAGACUACUAUUCACACAAUGCAAACUACCCCUACUUGUGGUUUGCAAAGAAAUCUUUUUCCUUUCAUCAAGCCUCACAUUCAUUUGCUCUCCCUCUUCUUUUUUUAAAGUAUGGACCACCUUCUCUUUCCUUUAAGCAUAUAUACUGCAAGCAACUAUGACAAGUGUUGCGUACCUAUUUUUUAUCUGAUCUUAAGGCCUUAUUUAGUUCAUGAAAAUUUUUAGUUUUAGCUAUUGUAGCACUUUCGUUUGUAUUUAUAUAUUGUCCAACCAUAGACUAACUAGGCUCAAAAGAUUCGUCUUGUAAUAUAUAGGUAAACUGUGAUUAGUUAUUUUUUAUCUAUAUUUAAUGCUCCAUAUAGAUACCGCAAGAUUUGAUAUCACGGAAAAUUUUGAAUUUUUUUUUGGAUUUUAGGUGUAACUAAACAAGGACUAAAUGAUACUCGAAGCUCUAAGUAAAAAAAAACAGUGUUGAAAAAGGCCUAAAUGGACACAGGGAGUAUAAGGUCUUGUUUAGUUCUUUUUUUUUUUGCAAAAUAGUUACCGUAGUAUUUUCGUUUGUAUUUAAUAAAUAUUAUCCAAUCAUGGACUAACUAAGCUUAAAAGAUUCGUCUCGCAAAUUACAGACAAAUUGUGCAUAGUCAUUAUUUUUAUCUAUAUCUAAUUUUUUUUACAAAAUUUUUGGAACGCCUUGUUUAGUUCAAAAAAAUUUGCAAAAUGGACACUAUAACACUUUUGUUUGUAUUUGACAAAUAUUGACUAAUCAUGAACUAACUAGACUCAAAAGAUUCGUCUCGCAAAUUACAGACAAACUAUACAGUUAGUUAUUAUUUUUAUCUAUAUUUAAUGCUGAAUGCAUGUGCCAUAAGAUUCGAUGUGAUGAGAAAUCUAAUUUUUUUUGAACUAAACAAGGCCUAAACUGGGCCUAAGUACAACAUGUUCCUUAGUCCUUAAGCAUGUUGACCACACUAAACAGUGAACAGGGAUAAUGGAGGCAGGUAAUUAUGUUUUUCCCGGCAAAAGCCAGAAAAAAUCCCAAGAACGGCAAGCCAGACUGCAGGGUUGACUUGACUAGGCAAUGGUCAUGGCCGGCAGACGCUCUUGCUCGACCACCGCGUCGGAUGCGCGGCUUUGACCGUGAAUCCACUCCCCUGAGCACACGCAUCGGUUAUUAUAUCAGUAUUGGUGCACAACUGUCUCUUGUGCUUUCUUUUUUAAAAAAUAAAUCUCUGGCAUAGAGUUUUAUUAGAAACUAUUAAUAAUAAUUUUCGUUAAAAAAUCUCACCGGACUUGGAUAGAUCUGCAUGCCCGGCUGUUGCGAUCCCAAUCCCAAGCGUACACGAUUGUGUCUCUCCCUCCAAUACAACACGGGGACGGGGGUGCACAGCACAUUGGUUGUGGCUACAUAUACGAGCGCACCCAGACUGUAUGCCGCUUGGUGAUUCUUUUCAGAUUCUCUCGUCCCCUGCACAGACGAGACGAGACGAGACGACGUCGGAGCGGGGUGGGCGAUGGAUCCGUCGAAUUCGAAGGCGGUAGCGGCGUCGUUGCCGUCCUACGGCAAGGUGCUGGAGACCUACAAGAAAGCGGCGGCCACGGCCGCCACGGUGACCGCGUACGCCGUGCUGGCGCGCGGCAUGGCGCGGGAGCUGCUGCCCGACGAGCUGCGCGAGGCCGCGCGCUGGGCCGCUGAUUUCCUGCUGCACGGCGGCGCCAGGCUGCGCGCGCCACCGCAGCGACGGACCUUCGUCAUCAAGCGGUUCGACCAGGAGAGCCCCAGCGGCGACAACGGGCUCUUCGCGGACGCGAGCGCGUACCUCGCCACCCGGAUCGACCCGCACACCACCACGCGGGUCUGCAUCGCCCGCCGCAGCGCCGUCGGCCCCGGCGGCGGCGGCGGCGGAGGAGGAGGAGGCUACGACUACGACUACGAAUACGAAGACGCGUACGGAGACGGAGACUGCGGCGGCCGCGAAGCCGAAGCCCGAGAUGACGGCGGCGGCGGCGGCGGGAGGCACGUCCUGUCCUUGGAAGUCGGCGACAGGAUGGCGGACAUCUUCGAGGGCGUCAAGUUCACGUGGAUGACCGUCGGACAGGGACAGGCCAAAGGCAACAACGACCACGUGACGUCGCUGGAGCUCACCUUCGACGCGGAGCACACGGACAUGGCGCUCAAACGGUACAUCCCGUUCAUAGCGGCGACCGCGGAGGCGGCGCGGCUGCGGGAGCGCACCCUCAAGAUCUUCUCGAGCGACUUCGGGUCGUGGCGCGGCAGCAGCUACCACCACCCGGCCACGUUCGACACGCUGGCCAUGGACCUGGACCUCAAGCGCUCCAUCAUCGCUGAUCUCGACCGCUUCCUCAAGCGCAAGGAUUACUACCGGCGCAUCGGCAAGGCGUGGAAGCGCGGGUACCUGCUCUACGGCCCGCCGGGCACCGGCAAGACCAGCCUCGUCGCCGCCAUGGCGUGCUACCUCCGGUUCAACCUCUAUGACCUCGAUCUCUCCAAGGUGGACUCCAACUCCUCGCUGCAGCGCCUGCUCACUUCCAUGUCCAACAAGUGCAUCCUCGUCAUCGAGGACAUCGACUGCUGCUUUAGCGCAACAAGCCGUGGCGGCGGCCCAGUGAAGAGCGGCGACGAUGACGACGAUGAAGACGACCCAUCUCCACCAAACGAUGAGGACAACUACUCCAAUAGGGUAAGAGAUUAGAUUAGAUUAGAUUGUGAAUUACUAUAAUCGUCAUUAUAGCACCAGAAUUGUCUUUUUGCUUUUUGUCUGACCUAUGUAGUAUCUUUUCAGCGUCAUCAGAGAGAGGGCAUAACACUGUCCGGCCUGCUCAACUUCAUCGACGGGCUAUGGUCGACCAGCGGCGAGGAGCGCAUCAUCGUCUUCACCACCAACUACAAGGACCGCCUCGACCCGGCGCUGCUCCGGCCAGGCCGGAUGGACAUGCACGUCUACAUGGGCUACUGUGGCUGGGAGGCAUUCAAGACGCUGGCUCGGAACUACUUCCUCGUCGACGACCACGUGUUGUUCCCGGAGAUGCAGGAGCUGCUCUCGGCAGUGGAGGUGACGCCGGCCGAGGUGUCGGAGAUGAUGCUACGGAGCGAGGAUGCCGACGUCGCGCUCCAGGGACUCAAGGAGUUCCUCGAGGAGAAGAAGCAGGGCAAGCAAACAGGAGAUGCGGGAAAGGCAUGAAAAACAACAGACGAUAUUUCACAAAUUAAAUGAUACUAUAGUAUGAUGUUUAUCUACCACUCUGACAGUGUGAUCUUCAGUUGUGCAGCCGAUGGAAUUUUAACAAUAUUUAUUAAAAGCAUCUACUACAAAAGUGUCGAUUUUAUUAUGACAAAAUGGAAAAAAAGUCAUGCAACAUUUUUUAAAACAACUCCCUAAAAUCGUUGCUAAAUCUUCCACAAGCACUUUGCAUAUUUUGCACACCCUCCCACGUGUUUUCGACACCCCCACCCCACCCCUUCCCAAAACUGGGAGCUUAGUGCCCCUUCCAAGUGGAAUGAGACUCCACAAAAACGUUGCUCCAUACCUGUGGAUUUGGCACGGCACGACACAACACAAAGAGCUCAUAGGGUCAUAUGCUAUCCUGAUCCCCGUAGGGCCAUGCGUUGGUUGAGCCCGUGGGCCGGGCCGAGCAGUCCAUUUGGACACCUAUAGCAGGAAAUUAAAAGAAAAGUUUAUAAUCCGUAGUUGUAAAUAGACCCUGUAGGAUUCACACUACAGCAUUCCACCUCUAUUUUGGUUCGCUUUUGCUGGAUGUAAGGUUCGACCCUAAUGUUGUAGCUGCCCUGAUGCAAAGCUGAGGCUGGUUUCCAACACAGCCUAUUUCUUCUUUAAAAAAAAAACUAUCUAGGAGAGCUAGGUGGACCAGGAAAAUUUGUUACCACUUAAGGUGUGUUGAUAUCCAAAUUUUUAUACAAACAUUUUGGAUCUAGAUUCUCUAUAAAAACAUUUCAGGUGAUGAAUCAAAAUGACUUUAUGAAACUAUUUGGAUGUUAGCCUCAAUUGUAAUUCUUGAAAGAGCAUUUUUAUACAAAAAAAAUCAUAUUAAUGAAAUAUGCUUUAAAAAAAGGACCCCCGAACUUUUUUUGGGUGAACACCACCUUCAAUGCAACCCAUUGUAAUUUGUUGAGUUGCACUAAGAAAAAUAAUAUAUAACCGAAAAAACUACGAUUAUCAGUACACUAUCGCGAAACUAGAAUCCAUGUGAAACCUGAAACGUUUCGCUGUUGCUGUGUUUGGCAUGGUUUCUGCCGCUUUUUUUUGGUAGAAUCAGAACCGAUUGGGUCUUCCGAACGGCCCCUAAAACCUAAAAUUUUUUCAAAAUUCAUCAUCACAUCAAAUCUUUAGACACAUACAUGAAGUAUUAAAUAUAAAGAAAAAUAAAAACUAAUUAUACAGUUUAAUCGAAAUUGAUUUUCAAUUGAGAAACUAAACACGGCCCCAUUGUCCAUUGGAGUAAUGGAGUUUUGGAGAGGUUCACAAAUUCACCCACAACAGAACGACCAUAACAGCAGCUAACAGUUCGCCAUCGAAGAUAGAGAUUAAGGCCUUGAUACGAAAAGAUUUUGGAUUUCGCUACUGUAGCACUUUCGUUUGUGUAUGUCAAAUAUUAUCCAAUUAUGGACUAACUAGGAUCAAAAGAUUCAUCUCGCGAUUUACAGUUAAACUGUACAAUUAGUUUUUAUUUCCGUCUAUAUUUAAUGCUUCAUGCAUGUGCCGAAAGAUUCAAUGUGACAAGGAAUCUUGAAAAGUUUUUGGUUUUUGGAGUGAACUAAACAAGGCCUAACUAAUUACUAGGAGAGCUAACAAAAUACUAACCAGAAAGCAUCAGCAUUGGCUCUUGAUGCAGACGCACUACUUGGACGUGCGCCUCCCCUGCUUCUUCUUGUCCUGGAGGAACUCCACGAACUCCUGCAGCGCGACGUCGGGGUCCUCGCUGCGCAGCAGCAUCUCCGACACCUCGGCCGGCGUCACCUCCACCUCCGAGAGCAGCUCCUGAAUCUCUAGUUGGUGGUGAAGAUGAUGAUGGCGACCACAGCCCGUCGAUGAAGUUGAGCAGCCCAGACAGGGUUAUGCCCUGCCGCGGCGAAGGUCCCUGGAUGGCAUUGGCAUUCAUUCCGGGCACAGAAAUGUUGUCAGAAAAUUGUGUUUGCUCUGCAAAAGAAUCAAGGCCUUGUUUAGUUCCAAAAUAUUUUGCAAAAUGGACACGGCAGCUCUUUCGUUUGUAUUUGACAAAUAUUGUCCAAUCAUGGACUAACUAGGCUCAAAAGAUUUGUCUCGUCAAUUCCGACCAAACUGUGCAAUUAGUUUUUAUUUUUGUCUAUAUUUAGUACUUCAUGCAUGUGUCUAAAGAUUCGACGUGACGGAAAAUCUGAAAAAUUUUGUAAAUUUUUUUGGAAUUAAACAAGGCCCAAAGGGAAAUGAAAUAUCUUGUAGCUAUACGGGUACCGUGUAGUAGCGAGCUCUUGGUGGAGGCUCAUCUGCUGAAGAACAGUCUUCUAUCGCCAUCGUCGUCCUUGGUGCGCUGGUUGGUGCCUUCCCUCGACUUGGUGCUGAAGCAUCAGUCAGGCCUUUUUAGGGUUUAGGGUUUAGUUUGCAAAAUUUUUGCUUUUUGGCUAGUAUAGUAUUUUCGUUUUUAUUUGACAAAUAUUGUCCAAUCACAGAGUAACUGGUCUCAAAAGAUUCAUCUCACAAAUUACAGGUAAACUGUGCAAUUAGUUUUUAUUUUUGUCUAUAUUUAAUGCUCCAUACAUGCGACUAAAGAUUCGAUGUGACGGAGAAUCUUGAAAAUUUUUGCGAACUAAACAAGGCCUCAAUGUCCUCGAUGACAAGGAUGGACUUGUUGGGCAUGGCCGUGAGAAGCUUCUGCAGCGAGGUGUUGGAGUGCACGUGGGAGGGGUCGAGAUCGUAGAGGUUGAAGCGGAGGUAGUUGGCCAUGGCGGCCACCAGGCUCGACUUGCCGGUGCCCGGCGGUCCGUACAGUAGGUACCCGCGCUUCCACGCCUUGCCAAUACGCCGGUAGUAGUCCCUCCUCCUCAGGAAGCGGUCCAGGUCAGCGAUGACGGACUCCUUCAGCGCCGGGUCCAUGACGACCUCACGACCAUGCCGAACGUAGCCGGGUGCUGGUGCCUGAUGCCUUCCCAGGACCAGUCAUUGUUCAUGAAGAUCUGGAGCGCACGCUCCCGAUGCCGCGUCCCAAAAAUUAACAAAUACACUCUCCAUCUCAAAUUAUAAGUCAUUUUAAAAAUCUUAAAGAGUUAAAGCAUUUUCACGUUUGAUCAAAAUUAUAGAGUAAAAUAGUAAGAUUUGUAACGUAAAGUGAGUAUACUAUGAAAAUAUAAUUAAGGAAGAAUCUAAUGAUAUUUAGUUAGUAUCAUAAUAAUUAUUAUUUUAUCAUAUAAAUUUGGUCAAACUUUGAAAAGUUUGACUCUCCAAGAUUUUUGGAAUGAGUUACAAUUUGGAAUGGAGGGAGUACAAAAGAAGGUGUUAAGGUAUCUAAAUUUUUUUCACCCAACAACUAAACAGGGCCUAAACAAGACCUAACAGGAAAAAAAAAUCUGCUUGUCAGCUUAGGCCUUGUUUAGAUAUGAAAUUUUUUUGGAUUUCGCUACGGUAGCACUUUCGUUUGUUUGUGGCAAAUAUUGUCCAAUCCGAGACUAAAUAGGAUCAAAAAAUUUAUCUCGGGAUUUAUAGGCUAACUGUGUAAUUAAUUUUUAUUUUCAGCUAUAUUUAGUGCUUCAUACAUGUGCCGUAAGAUUUGAUUUGACGGUAAAUAUUGAAAAAACUUUUUGAAUUUUGGUGGAAACUAAACAAGGCCUUAUCCAAACUCAGCCCAGUGAAUUGUUGGAAGCUAGUACCUCGUGGGCUCUCGAUCGCACAGAUCGUUCCCCCGGCACCGACCCGGCUACCGUGUUGCCUGCCAUCGCCGUUUUAUUUGCCAUUGAAAGAUACUACAAGAGUUGAUUUUUUUUAAAAAAAAAGAAACAGAGAGAAGGAUGCAGCAGUUGCAGGAGCAAGUGGUGCGCUAGGCAACCCGUGCAGCGUCAUGCCUCGGUUUGCAAUUGCAAAUGCAACACAAGAAAUUGUUGAUGGUGUAUUGAUGUCCCCGUCUUCGCACAAAGGCGUCGAUCGGGACAUUGGAGUCCGGACUCCGGUCGCGCGAUCGCCGGACGCCUCACACAAAAAAAAGGCAGCCGGACCCAUGCUCGCAAGUCGCAAAUCGCCAUCGGUCUGUUGCAUGGACUUGUACCAGUGCAGUGCUUGCCUGCUGCGUUCUGCAAAGUGCCAAAGCAGCUAUGCCGCCAGUGCACAAUAUGAACCUGUGUCCUAGUAGUGGCAAAACAGCUAUGCUACCGGUACGGCGUGGCCUUGUUUACUUCCUAGAAAUUUUUGCAAAAUUUUUUACAUUCUCCAUCACAUCGAAUCUUUAGACGCAUACAUGGAGUAUUAAAUAUAUACGAAAAUAAAAAAUAAUUGUACAGUUUGAUCGGAAUUGACGAGACAAAUCUUUUGAAUCUAGUUAGUCUAUAGUUAGAUAAUAUUUGUCAAAUACAAACAAAUAUACUACAGUAUCGAUUUCGAAAAAAAAUUGCAAAAGCCGGCGCUGCCCGAGUCCGACUCGCACCAGUGACCAGUUCAUGGCUGGCCGCCUGGCCCGUGCGACGUCACGCUUGCCUGAGGUCUGUGGAAGUGGAACAGCCAAUUGACUGGAAGUCCAGAGCCUGCCUUUUUCUCUCGUUGAACUACCGUGCCAUAGAGAGAGCCCUCCCAGUCAGCCAGAGGAAGGCUCCAAAAAUUACCACCAGUAGUAUGGUCAGUACCAUUUCUUUCCCGUGCCAGAACCCUUUUCUGUGUUGCCACUACAGUGUUUGUCCAUGAAUUCCUGAUGACUGUUGGUGAAAGCCUGCAGUAAAAGCAUGGGACCUAGUACGUGAAGUAAUGCUUCACUUUAAUUUUAAAGUGCAAACGGAUUGGUAACUCAAAAAUGAUUGAUAGUUAAAAACUCUAUCUGAAAAAACGACGACAGUUAAAAACAAGAUUUAAGAAAAAAGAAGAAUAUAUUAUUGUUGGAUACGAUAGGUUUUCACCUGGACCAAAAAGUCAUUAACUCAGGCCUUGUUCAGUUCCGUAAUUUUUUAGUUUUUGAGUUCGGUAGCACUUUCGGUUUUAUUAAUAAUUAUUGUCCAAUUAUAAAUUAAUUAAACUUAAAAUAUUCUUCUCACGAUUUACAAAUAAACUGUGCAAUUAGUUUUUAUUUUCGUCUAUAUUUAAUGCUUAAUGUGUAUGCCACAAGAUUUGAUAUUACAGAGUUUUUUAUUUUUGGGAUGAGCUGCCUCCUAGAAACAACAGAAGUAAACAAGGCUAAAAUAUAGGGUAGGGAAAGUGGGAGAAAGAGAGAAAAAGAAAUGAAAAAAGCAAGCUCACCGUAAACUUGGGCUUUCUUCUGGAUACUGUAAUAUUUUCAUUUUUAUUAAAUAAUUGUUAUUUUAUUGUGGACUAAUUAGGUUUAAAAGAUUUAUCUCAUAAAAUAUAGAUAAAUUGUAUAAUUAGUUUUUAUUUUCGUUUAUAUUAAUAUUUUAUAUAUGUACCGUAAGAUUUAAUUCCACGAAGAAUUUUGAAUUUUUUUAACUAAACAAGGCCUAGCCUGUUAUAUGUAUGAGCCAAAAGAACGAUGACCUUGCCGUAAAAAAACAAAUCACUAUCAAGAACUAGGCCUGGUUAAAAAAAUCAAAAAAUUUUCAAGAUUUUCUAUCACAUCAAAUCUUACGACAUUUGUAUAGAAUAUUAAAUAUAGAUAAAAAUAAAAACUAAUUGCAUAAUUUGUCUGUAAAUCACAAGAUGAAUCUUUUGAGUUUAGUUGGUCCAUGAUUGGACAAUGUUUGUUAAAUAAAAACGAAAAUGCUACAGUACCAAAAUCUAAAAACAAAUCGUAAUAGCAAAUCAAAAAUGACAUGCUAUAUAGGCCCAGCAGGAAGAACACGGAGAGUGCUCCCUCUGCCAAGUGCCUACUACAACUCUGUAUCUUGCAGCCUUGCGGUUGCAACCACUCGGUCUCAGAGCCGGGCUGCCGGGGAGAUGGCGACGGAUCCCACCUCGGCAUCGGCGGCGGGGUUGCCGUCCUACGCGAAGGCGGUGGACGCGUACCGGAAGGCGGUGGCCACGGCGGCCACGGCGACCGCGUACGCCGUGCUGGCGCGCGGCAUGGCGCGGGAGCUCCUCCCCCAAGACCUCCGCGCCGCGGUCAGCUGGGCCGCGUCCCUCCUCCGCGCCCGCCUCGAGCCCCGCACCGCCGAGCGCCGCACCCUCGUCAUCAAGCGCGACCAGGAGUCGCACCACCACCACCACCCUUGCGACGGCGACGCGGCGCUCUACGUCGACGUGCGCCAGUACCUCGCCACCCGGAUCGACCCUCGCUCCAUGCGCCGCCUCUGCCUCAGCGGCGGCGUCUCCGGCUCAAGGAAGGUUCUCUCCAUGGAGCCUGGAGACUCCAUGAUCGACAACUUCGAGGGCGUCGCGUUCACGUGGGCGUCCGUCGCGGGUGAAGGCCGGCGCGGGAUAGUGGCAGAGUCGCUGGAGCUCAGCUUCGACGCCGAGCACACGGACAUGGCGCUGGAGCGGUACGUCCCGUUCAUCACGGCGACGGUGGAGGAGGCCCGGCGCCAGGACCGCUCGCUCCUCAUCUACAUGAACGAGGGCUCGGGGUGGAGCAGCAUGACCCACCACCACCCGGCCACGUUCGACACGCUCGCCAUGAACGGGGGGGCUUCGCGUCCGAACAGCCGGACUGGAGACGUCGGCCGAACAGCUCCCGCUCAUUUUUCCCGCCCAAAUUCUCGGUCGAUUUGUUCCAGAUCCGGGUCUGACGCGAACGAGCGCGCCCCAAUCACCGAGCCACGCAGGAAUCGGCUGCAUAUCAGCGUUGCUGACCCGCUGAGCCAUGUGGGUUACGUUAAUUUCCUUUUCCUCCCUUUUUUAUUCUUCUUAUUUCUUACUUUUUAUUUUUAUUUUUAUUUUUCUUUUCUUUUUAUUUUUCUUUCUUCUUUUCGUGCUUCAUUUUUUCAUUUUGUUUUCUUUUAUAUGUUUUACGUGAUUUUUAUUAUUAUUUCCAUUCUUAUAUUUUUAUGUUUCUUUUUUCUUUUCCUUUCUUUUUCUUAUUAUUUCCUUUCCUCUAGUUUAUUUUUUAUUUUUGUUUAUUCUCCGUUUCAUGUUAUUUUUAUUAUUCUUUUCAUUUUUAGUUUGUCUUAUUUAUUUUGUUUUUCUAUUUUAUUCUUUUUUGUUUUUCUUCUUUUUUAUUUUCCCUUUGACUUUAUGUUUUCUAUAGAGUUUUUUAUUUUUCUAUUUUACCUUACUUAAUUACUUUAUUCAUGUUUAUUUUUUAUUUUCUUUUAUUUUUGUCUUCUAUUCUUGUUAUUUUUCUUUCCUUUUUCCAAUUUAUUUUUGGUUUUAUUUUUCAUUUCAUGUGAUCUUUCAUUAUUCUUUUCAUUUUUUAUAUAUUUUUAUUUGUUAUAGUUCUUUUUUCAUUUACUAUUUUGUUUGUCAUAUUUUAUUUUAUUUUAAUAUUUAUUCUUUCUGUUUUUCUUUCUUUUUCUCUUUGCCUUUAUUUUUUGUAUAGAUUUGUUUUUCUGUUUAACCGUACUUUAAUUAUUUUCAUCUUAACUUUUUUUUUAUUUUUCUAUAUUCCAUGAGAUGUUGUGAUGUUUAUUUAAUAUUCUGUAAUAAAAAUUUUGUGAUGUUCACAUAAUACAUAUAUGAUGUUCUAUGAUAUAUUUUGUGAUGUUCCUGUAGUAUAAAUAUGAUGUUCUAUAAUAUACGUUGCGAUGUUAUAUGAUGUACUAUGUUAUUACGUCCACAUACUAUGAUGUAUUUUGUGAGAGCACCCCCCCCCCCCGACGCCGGGGGCUCUUCCCGUCCGCCCGUCGGACCAUAAAUUCGCGCCGAUACUUUUUCCCGCUUACUUUUCUCGCCCACAUAGGUAACUUCCGUAACCUCCACUCAAACGUGCAGACAAAUAAUAGACUAUCCCAUCGCAUGGGACCUACUCACCUAUGCAUACUAAUAAAUUUUAACAAAUUAAAAAAAGUUAUUACUCAUGAACCAAAUAUCAAAAUUAAAUUCUAAUUACACCAUUAGAUUUCUCGGAACAAAUACUUCAAAACAAGAUCUCGCAUGGAUAUAUUUAGAUAAAAUUUAAUUAACGAACAUUUAUCUUAUAAGGAUAGAACAUUUUCUUUUAUUGAGUAAAGACAAUAUUUUAGGUUCACAUAAUAAUGUUUCAUCUUCAUAAAAAAACUCGGUUUAAAAAAAUAGUGUUCUAGUUUUAGAUUUGUGAAAUUUGUAAUAUGAUAUACAUAAAAAUAAAUAAAUAAAUAAAUAAAUAAAUGGCGUAUGUAUAAAUAAUAAGCUCUAGAGUAAAACAUAAGAAAAAAAUAAAACAUGUAACAAAAAAUUGAAAGAACAUCGGGAAAUAUACUACAGAACAUCACUUGUGUAGUAAGUGAACAUUAUUAAAUACACCAUAGAACACUAUUAAAUAUAUUUAGAACAUCACAUAUAUAUUACGUGAACGUUAUUGAAUAAUCAUAGAACACCAUAUGUGUACUAAGUGAACAUCACUAAAUACACCAUAGAACAUCACUAAAUACAUUAUAGAACAUCGUAUAUAUUAUGUGAACAUCACUAAAUACACCAUAGAACACCAUUAAAUAUAUUAUAGAACAUCACAUAUAUAUUACGUAAACAUCACUAAAUAUAUCAUAGAACAUUACAAUACAUUGUGUGAACAUCACAAAAAAUAACAUAAAACAUCACAUGUAUACUAUGAAAACAUCACAUAUUUGGAACAUUACAUGUAUAUCACGUGAACACAAAGAAAACAUCACACAACAUCGCAUGUAUAAGACAUAAACAUAAAAAAAACAUCACUACAUGAACAUGAAAAGCAAUAUAGAACAUCUUAAAAGAUAAUAUAAAAAAAUAAAAGAAAUAAGAAAUAAAAGAAAGGUAAAAGAUAUAAAAAUAUAAAAAUAAUAAUAAACACAUAAAAACUAAAAUAAAAAACAAAAAAAAUAAAUGAACCACAAAAAGGGAAAAGAAAAGACAAAAAAAAAGAAAAAACAUGAAUUGAAUAAAAACGUAUACAGAAAAAAAUUUACUAAAAAUAAAAUAUAGAGCAAAGUAUAUAGAAAAAAUAAAAACGUGUAAUUAGAGAAAAUUUAAAAAAACACCAUAUAGAUACUUUUCAAACAUUGUAAAAUAUACUAAAGAACAUCACAUAUACCAUAGAGCAUAGCCAAAAUAUAUAUACGUGAACAUCACUAAAUAUAUCAUAGAACAUUACAUAUAUAUUAAGUGAACAUCAUAAAAGACAUCAUAGAACAUCUAAUGUAGACUAAGUGAACAUUAAUACCGAGUAAGCAACACAAAAAACAUCUUAGAACGUUAUAUGUAUACUAAGCGAACAUUAUUAAAUACACCAUAGAACAUCACUGAAAACAUUAUAGAACAUAGUGUGUG
rnacentral:lncRNA from 1 species